GAGAGAGGAGAUAGCUCGGGCGAAUCCGGUGAUCAAAGGGGAGAAGCUACGGAGGAUUUAAUCUGCGCCGUUGAUUGGAUGAUGUGAUUUGAUUGAGUUGAUCAGGACCGUCCGUGGUGGACCGCUGAUGAUAGGAAUUGAUGAGCGUGUGUAAAAAAUAUAUCUAUUAUUAUGACGACAUUGGAAGGGUUGAAUAAGUCAUGUUUGGUGGCUUUGCUUUUGUGUUCAUUAAAAAUGAAAAUUGCUAGGUCCACCCACGUUCGGAAUUUGAGGUCCCUUUUGAAAUUGAAAUGUAAAAAACUAGUAGCACUGUAGUUUAAUAUUUUUUCUGCGCCAAAUUAUCUUCUGCAUUGUAUUUCAUUUUCUGCCGUUGCACUAUGGACUUUUUCUUCCAAGACCAAAAUUGUUCAAAAUAAAAAUCCCCGAUGAAUAAUUUUCUAACUUUUUCAUACAAGGUUAUCAAAAUAGAGGGUAUAUUUGAAUCGUGCAUUGAGCUCAAACAUAAUAUUACAAGGGAAAAAAAUUUUUUAGCAACAUUUUUUUAAUAAUUUUUUGAUAACAGAUACCAAUAAAAUGAUGACACGGAUUUUGUUAUAAAAAAAAUGUCAAAAAAAAAUUAUAAAAAUAUCAUUGUCCUAUUAUAACUGAAUUCACCUUUAUAGCUCUUCGUUGGGAGCAUCUUGUUGUAUCGAACAUGCUUGGGAGCUGCUUAAACUCUCUAUCCAAACGCCAUCAGCUACGACUGCAUCAGUGUCGUUGUUUCGGUGCCACGACCAGUGUGCGUGUGUUUCAUUUACUAUUCUCAACCUUCCAUGUCCAAAGCUUGGUUCUCGAUACAACGAGAGCGGGCUUGGAGGGUUCUUAAACCUGUUAUCAACAAUACAUAUACAACAAUAUAAACCUAAGAAAGAAAAAAAAAACGAAAAUUGAAAAUUAAAACAUAAGAACAUCUCACGUUAACGCAAGCCCCUCUCGAUUUCCUCCGUCUCCAAUGGUGACGUACAUGGGUCCACACGAGUCAACUUUGUUAUCGUAAAUUCGAGUCUGCAAUGAAUUUAACUAGUUACUGAAAACAAAACAACCGAGGAUUAAGUUGAAAAAAAAAGAAAUGGAAGUGUGACGUACGAAGCGUUCAUAGGCAUGAACAUGGCCAGCAAAAACCAAGUCAACACGGGCAUUAUAAAGCAAUUGUUCCAUGGCUUGUCUCAUGGAUUCACCUUCACCUUGGUGUGCCUCAUUAGUGUUAUACCAAGGUGCAUGCAACAACACAAUGAGCCAAGGUGUCUUGGCCCUGUCAAUAUUGGCGAGAUCAGACUGGAGCCAGUUGUAUUGUUGUGACUGGGCGUGAAAGUCAGUGUAGGAACCUAGCAUGAUGACAUGGGUGGCAACAAGCUGGAAGGAGUAAUAGAGGUUUGAGGUGGAAGCACUUUGUUGGAAGGGCAUAGGCCAACGAGCAUUGUAGGCUUGGAAGGGUUGUGGGUAAAUAAUGGGGAAAAUCUCGAUCUCGUGGUUGCCUUCAGUAACCAUCCAUGGCCUUUUACUGGCAUAGGGUUCCACCAAACGACCAAAGGAGUCCCACAAAGGUUGUUGGGAGUCUGCGUAUGAUAGAUCUCCUGGUAACAACGCAACGUCGUACUCCCUGCUUUCGACAUGUUUCAAGGUUGAUGCAGUCCAUUCUGUUUGUCCCAAGUCCCCUGCAUUCAAUCACAUAUCUUUAUGGAAAACAUUAUUCAUACAUACAAAUGGUAAAACGACAAAUAUAAGUGAUUCAUUGAUCUUUUUCUAGGCAAGUUAGGGAACUGCCAAACAAAUGGUGUACACUUACGCCACUCUUCAAUCCUUAAAAGAUACCUUAUCCUUAUAUUGGUGUCCCACCCCAUCUUUGCGUUGCUUCAACAACACAUUAACUUGAAAAUUAACCCAACUAUAAAACCAUAAUGGUUUAUAUGCCAAAGUAGAACCCAGACAGAAGCAAACCAAACGGUGAAGCAAAAGACUGAUAUCAAAUCCCAACGACAAUGACUUACCAACGACGACAAAUUCAAGAGGGAAGUUGUGUGGAGGUGUCUUGAGAGAAAACUCUGGGCCCGACCCUCCACACCUGUAGAAGUAAGUGGUGCCUGGUUUCAAAGGACCAAUAACAACGUUGUGAAUCUUGCCGGAAUUGUACAAAAAAUAUCGGUACGAGGUAUGCUCCCCCGUUGAUUUUGCGUUAUAUUCCCCUGACUCUGUUCCGUACUCCACCACAGAUUCUGCACGCUUCUCUUCCGUUAUCCACGACACCCUCAUCUUCUCUUUCCCCACCAAUGAAAUGUGCACCUACAGUAACCAAAUUGCGAACGUAAGUAAACAUUAACAUAAUUGAUCUAUGCAUGCAUCAUAAGUCGUCAUGAACCUGUUGCGGAUCAGAAUGGGAGCGUUGAUGUGGUGUGAUGAUGAGUUGACCAGCUGGCUGACGAACGAAAUUGUUGUGCUCGGAGAGUAGAGGCAGUGGGAACAAAAGGAGGAAUAGGGUGUGUAUGAGGGGGAUUGGGAACUCCAUAAGAGACCUUCUGCUGCAUUUUCUUCCCAUCAUCUUCUUGUUGAUUCAUGAAGUAUAUUAGUAAAGGGAACUCUUUUGAGUUAUUUAUAUAAUGGGGUUGCGGAAAAAACACUGCAUGAGAUGGAAAGAGCAUUUAAGAUAUAUUUUUCUUCAAAACUCCUUGCUUUGUAGUUCUGUUUCUCUCUGCCUUCUUGUACACGCGUGCCUCCUUCCACUGAGUAAGAAAAUAGAAUUGUAUGGAAAACAAUACGCAGUUUGGCACUUACAUCAAAUAAUAGAAGCCGACUUACAUAAAAAUGGCGCAUCUGAACAUCACGUAUGGCUCAGAUUUGAAGGCAAUACAAACACGCUAUUUCUCUCUAUUUGUUCCAAGUUUGCAAAACUUUCGGUACAGUGAACAUGACUGCUGAGAAAUAUUAAUUAUAUUGACCUUAAACGGUUUUUUCAAGCAACAAAAGAACAUAAGAACCCUCCAAGCUCGCUCUCGUUGUAUCCAUUUUAGUACACAGCAGUAUUCAUUUUCCAAUAUAUUAUUAAUAUUAUUUAUUACACUAUUAAUAUAUUAUUUAUUCUCCAUGCACCCUGUAGUGUAGUGUAAGGGGGUUGCCGGUCGGGUAAAGAUGAAUAAAAACGAUAAGUGGAUGAAAGGUAUAUUAAGGGUGUAGCAGGAGAAUUGGGAGUCAAUCGGGGACACGGGUAGGCCGGCCGGUUGAAUGAAGAGGAAGGACGAGUAUAGUAUAACAACAUUAUUAGAUUGGUGGGGCGAAUCUUGCGGGCAAGUGAGUAACAGUUAUAAUUAAUGGACAAAUCUGUCGGAACAUGAAUCAACAGUUACAGGUAGUUAAUGUCCAUUAACUGAGUUGAAUACCUAUAAAUAUAGGAAAUGUUAAUCAGGUAUAGAACUUUUUGAUCAAAUUACAUUUGCUUAUUUUAUAUUGACUAUACUGAUUUGAGCGUCAGAGUAAUGUGCAGGUGACAACCGAUCAACGAUAGACGUAAGUAGAUUUUCCAAAGUACAGUGAUAGACGUAAGUAGAUUUUUCAAAGUACACCGCCUGGAUAGCUGGGAUUGUGUUCGGUGUUGAGCCCUACGUCCGAAACACACCCCAAGUUCUUCAUUGCUUCGUUUUUAUGUGCAAGUAAUCUUCCUUGAAACUGACAUAGAACAAGAGGAACACCUUCUACCUGUGUUUUGUGAAGCAGUUCAAGAGAUCUUCCAUCCUCUACAAACCUAUAAAUAUGAAUAAAUCCUGCAGUUACAGUCCUUUUGGGCAAAAAUUUACAAGAGACUUUAGUAAUACAAGUAUGAGCCUUGAAAUCAACACGGGUCAUUAUCAUGAAUUGAUCCAUAAGGGCUCAAGACAGAUUAUCAGUGUCAAAGUAUGAAAUUUCAUACAAAGAAUGCUUUUCAACUAUGCUAUUCUUACAUCAACUAUAUCAUCAGAAAUUUUUAACACAUUAUGUUGGGUAAUUACAUUUUCAUACCUUCUAAUCCAUAUAAUUACGAAAUUAUUACUUAUAUUCUGUAUUUCGUUAGUCCAAUAGUAAGACAUUUAGGUUAGAUGUAAAAGGACAAAUCAAGUUAUCUGUUCUAAUAUGAGGAGGAACAACUUGUUUUGACUUUUUAACACUUAAUUAGCAUUUAUAUAUGUCCUUCACAUAGAUCCAAUCAUAAACUUUAUACUCUUCGCCCAGACAAAGGAAAAGUAAAUCGCAACUCCAAUAAAAGCAAAACAUAUCUUUAUCGUUGUGAUAAAAUUUCUUCCUCACAGAAUGCUUUCUUGUAAGUUUUCAUGGAGAAUUCGUGCAAACUCUUAAUUCAGCCACUUUUAAUCAUUAGUAAUUUGCAUUUUUGGUUUUUACAAGAAAUGUCAUUUAAAAAGUGAUAUUUUUUAAUAACAAAUCAUUUUUAUAUUUUGUGGUUCUUUGUUAUGUUAUGACCGCUUCAUUUUUUCAAAAAAGAUAAAACGCCACAUUUAUUGUGAAAUAACGUAUAUAUUUUUCAAAUUUAUGCAAUUAGACAAGAAAAUAUUUAGUGAAUGUGUCAGGUUUAAUACAUUUUUUAAAGUAUAAAUAUUAGUUUCUUAAACUAUUAUUAUUAUUGAAAUUAAUUUUCCUUUAACCUUUCGAAGUUGUUCCAUUUAUAUUUUUUCCUUUUCCAAUUUUUUGAAUUGUUUCCUGUCCUUUUAUCGUAAAACUCACUAAAAAAAGACAUAACUCAGGCUAAAACAAACAAAAGGUUUAAUACAUUUGUCUUAGUAUAAAUAUUAAUUUCUUUAACUAUUAUUAUUAUUGAAAUUAAUUUUCCUUUGUAUACAUUAACCUUUUGAAGUUGUACCAUUUAUAUAUCUUUUUUCCUUUUCCAAUUUUUUGAAUUUUUUCCUUUCCUUUUAUCGUAAAACUCACCAAAAAAAGGCAUAACUCUGGCUAAAACAAACAAACAGUUAUUUUAAAUUUUUUCAAUAAAAAAUAAUAUUUUAUCUCUUCUCAUCGUUGAUUCUGUUCCGUAACUGCAAGUAGGUUAAAUAUUUUUUAGAAAGGGAAUAUCAGAAUAUCCCAUAAUCGAAAUUAAACUAUGAACACAUUUAUAUCUUAUGCGUACAAUAGCUGGAGUUCCAAGACAUGUCGACACAUGGGUUGGGUUACAUAUUGUGAAGUGUGAACGCUAUAUAAAGAACUCAAUACACAAGGAAACUUGUGGGUCGUAGAAUAUUCAAAUCACGCAAUAAAUAUAUACACACAUUCACUGAUUUUCAUCAACCACCUUCUCCUCUUUCUUCAUUUUCAAUCUCAAAUUUCUUUGAUUUUAGUGACAACAUUUUUAGCACCGAAAUUUCAAAACGAUGUUGGUGCAAAGAAUGUGCAUGCUAGGGUUCUUGCUAAUCGUCGGAAUCUUCGAAAUCGACGCCGUUUAUGGUUACAAUCGACCACCACCUCGUCAAAACCUCUUUAUUCCAAACGCGGAUCACUCCGACUUGCCACAACAGGUAACAACAAAUUACUACGCUUACGCAAAUUUGACUUUUAAUUUUCUGCAUCGACGCUUUAUUUGCAUUUCCAGUUAGCGAAGUGAGAAAGAAAAACUGUUCGAGAAACUCAAGUUUUCUCAUUGAUUUUGUGGAUAUUCAAUAGAGUAACUGCUUGAAUUUUGAAAUUCACAUUCAUGGCGCAUUUAAUGUUCCUGAGCACUGGAGCCAGCCAACACAUAUACAUCAACAUCUUAUUGACAACAUAUGUUUGAGGUUCAGAUUUUUCAUCGGAUAAAUCGAGUGUGCGAUUGUUUUCAUUGUGGUCUUAUAUAUAUUUUUAACUGAAAAAUUAUUAUUUUACCGUAAUCUUUAUCAAUUUUUAAGUAUUUAUGUUUUUCAAUUCAUGUUCUGUGCUGGUGAAUAGUUGGGUGUAGAAGACAACAUGUUUGAUUACCAGAAGGAGAGAAUUGGCUUAAUCUGGUACCAAACUGCGAAAUGGUUAAACCAAACGCUUUGUCGUUGGCUGUGUCUUCUCAUCUUUUGGCAUUUUGUAUCAAUCAAAGAAAAAAAAAUAACGAUCUCAAUUUUGUUUAACAUGCCUGCAAUUUUUAUUUUUUUUUAACAAAUCUUUGUACGAAAAUUAAAUUAUCACGAUUGUUUUCUUGAAAUAGUGUUCUGAAUUUAAAACUAAUUUAAAUAUUAAUAUAUAGACUGUUCUUCCUUUUUUUUUUCUUUUUAUCUUUGCACAUUUCUCUUAUUUUUUAUCCCCUCCUCUUCGCGAAUUGACUAAAAGGGAUUAAUUUGCUAUUUUUUAUUUUAUUUCUUUCAAAUAUUUAAUAAAAAAAUUGUUAUCUAUAAUCUAUGAAAACACACUUUUUAUUUGUCUUUUUUUCUUCAAUUUUACUCUCUUAAUUACUAUUUUUUAAAUUUAGAUAAUUAUUUAUAAUAAAAAACUAUUUUUCAAUUUUAUCAUUUUAAUAAUUAGUUUUUUUUUUAAUUCAAAUAAUUACUCCUUUUAAAAAAUUAUUUAUUUUUUAUCAUUUUAAUAACUAUUUUUUAAAUUUAAAAUUACUCAUUUUUAAUAUUUUAGUAACAUAAUAUUACUUAUAAUAUAAUUUAUUUUAAUAACUAGAAUUUAUUUUAUCUAUAAUUAUAUUUAUAACUAUAUAUCUAUAACUGUAUAUGCAUUUUGUUUUUUAAUUUUAUGCUUUUAAUUACUAUUUUUAAAAUUUAAAUAAUUUAUAAAUAUUUAAAAAAUAUGCCCACAAGUGUUGUAAUAAAUCCUUUAUUUACGCUAGUCUCUAUAAAAAAAAAAUAAGCUAUUUGAUUUCUUUCUCUUUGUAAUUCUGACUUUUUACAUUAAGCUAUUUAUUUUAAUCAUUGUAUUACAUAUAAUAAUAAUUAUUAAUUUAAUAUUAUACUUCAAGAAAUUUAAUAAUGAUAGAUUUAUUUCUUUUCUAGUACUUUUUAUAAUAACUUUAUGUUUGACUAUUUAAUUAUUAUAACAAAAUAAUAACAUUUGCGUCUUUUUUACUAUAUUAUAAACAUUUGAAGUUAUAAUAUAAAAUUAAUUAUAAAGUAUGUAACAAGAAAAGAAUAUAAUACUUGAAAAUAAAAGAUUGCAAUUAAAUAGAAUUUUGAAUAGUUUUGUUUUUAAUAACUAUUUUAUUAAUUUAAUAUUAACAUAGAUGUAUAUAAAAAGUAAUUUUAAAAAUUGAAAUAAUAAACAAUUCCAUCAGUUAAAGAGAUUUUUAUUUUCUGUAGUGUUGUUUUUUCUUAACUUUGGAGACUAAAAAAAUAAUUUUUGAAUUCGAGGAUUAAAACAUUAUUUUUAUAUUCAAGUACGAAAAGUGUUUACAAUUCAGGACAAGAAUAUUUUUAAAUCUUGACAACUAAGAACACUGUUUGACUUAAAUAUUUGAAUGAUUUAAUUUAUAUACAUUUAUUGUAAUUUUAGUAACAUAUAGAUAGUCAUGUAAUUUUAUGCAAGUGGUUACACUACAUAGGUCUGAUCGAAACACUAAAUUAUUAGUUUAUCUAAGAGAAAGUUCUUAAACUAAAGUGUUGGCAUAGGUUAUAUUCUCUCAUGAAUUAUUCUAGACAAGUUUCCUAAGACAAAGUCUUAAUGAAUGUGUUGGCAAUGGGUGGAUCUUUCUGUCUCAGGUACACAUAUCUCAAGUGGGAGAAAACAAGAUGAGGAUAUCGUGGAUCACAGACAGCCCAACUUCACCAAAGGUUUCGUACGGUCCAUCUCCUUCAGCAAAUGCAUUAUCUGCCACAGGGACAACCUCUUCCUACCGUUAUCUCAUUUACAAGUCCGGUCAAAUUCAUGACGUUGUAAUUGGUCCCCUCAACCCCAACACUGUCUACUAUUACCGUUUGGGUGACCCACCCUCUUCCGAAACAUACAGUUUCAAGACUCCACCUUCUCAACCUCCCAUCAAGUUUGCAGUAGUUGGUAUCCCCUCCUAUAUAUAUAUAUAUAUAUAUAUAUAUAUAUAUAUAUAUAUAUAUAUAUAUAUAUCGACAGUGAAUUAAGAAUGUUAAUUACACGGUGUUCUCCUUACUUACAACAUGUGUAUAUGUUUUCGAAUGAUGUUGCAGGAGAUCUUGGACAAACGGAUUGGACGACUUCGACCUUGCAGCAUGUAGCUAAAUCAAACUACGACAUGUUGAUUCUACCAGGUGACCUAUCCUACGCAGACUUUAUUCAACCUCUAUGGGACUCCUUUGGUCGGUUGGUAGAACCUUUAGCUAGCCAGCGUCCUUGGAUGGUCACCCAAGGCAACCACGAAGUGGAGAAGAUUCCUAUCGUUCACUCAGAGCCAUUCACGGCAUACAACGCCAGAUGGCGCAUGCCCUUCGAAGAAAGUGGAUCAGACUCUAACCUCUACUAUUCUUUCGAUGUCGCUGGCGUUCAUGUCAUCAUGCUUGGCUCCUAUGCCAAAUUUCAUCCAUCUUCUCCGCAAUACAAUUGGCUUAAAUCUGACCUGCAAAAGGUUAACAGGGGAAAAACUCCCUGGGUUUUGGCGCUCAUUCACGCUCCUUGGUACAACUCCAACACUGCUCAUCAGGGUGAGCCUGAAUCCCUUGAAAUGAAAGCUUCCAUGGAAGACUUGCUCUUCAAAGCCCGUGUCGAUGUUGUUUUUGCAGGCCAUGUUCAUGCUUAUGAACGCUUCGUGAGUAUCAUAUAUUACUCAUACUGUUGUUACUCUUCGAUCUGUUUGUUUGUCUUGCUUUAUUUAUAGGAAAAUAAAAUUUUAACACCAUUUUUUUUGACAUCAUUUUGACACUGCACACGUGUCAAAAUAUGGUUGGAAGAUUUCAAAUUAAAAAAUAAACUUUGGUUUUUCUCUUCUAAAUAUAUCCCUACCUCAACUUUUUUAAUUUGAAAUCGUCCAAUCACAUCUUCACAGUGUGCAGUUUCAAAAUAGUGUCAAAAAAUAGUAUUAAAAUAUCAUUGUCCUUAUUUAUAACCUAUUUGUUUGUUUUGUCAGACACGGGUUUAUAAAGACAAAGCUAACAAUUGUGGUCCAGUGCAUAUCACAAUCGGGGACGGGGGUAACCGUGAAGGCCUUGCUAAUAAGUAAUUUCAUGUUUCACCAUAAUUAAGUUGUGGAAAUUCAUGAUGUUAGAUUUGCAUUGAAUGAAUUCACUGUCUUUUUUGCUUGAACAGGUACAUAGAUCCUAAGCCAGCGAUAUCAAUGUUCAGGGAGGCUAGCUUUGGACAUGGUACAUUCGAAGUCUUUAAUGCAUCUCACGCACGUUGGACAUGGCAUCAGAACGAUAACGAUGAAGCUGUUGUUAGUGAUAGUAUCUGGCUUACGAGUUUCUUCUCCAAUCCUUCUUGUAAACAGUGAUCAAACAAUCAUGCUAAUAGGAUUUCCAGCUAUUUAAUCCUGGAAAACUAAAUAUAAGAUUCAAAUAUCAACAACAACAAAAUUAGAAUUUAUUCAUCUUAUAGAAUAGUGAAAUACUUACCUAAUAAAAGGAAAAUAUCUAAAUUUUAAUAAAUAAUUGUUAAAUUAAUAUAAAUAAAAAGUUAGAGAUAGAAGAUAUAUCUCUUGAUUGAGUAUUCUAGUUGAUAAGAUCAUUAUAUCUCUUGGUUUGAACGUAUUAAUGUUCGAUAAAACUUUUUUCCUGAUGUCUUUUUUACAAAAGAAAAUUCGGUAAGCUUAACAAAGAGAGGGAAUGAUUGUUGAGAUUUCAAUUUCUAUUACUCUUUAGUUGAUAUUUCAUAUUUCAAUUAAAAUUUAUCGCCAUAGUAUUGCUUAAUCAUUGCUCUUUUAGAGGCUGGUUUGUAUUUCUAUUGUUUUUUAUUUAUUUAUAUACAUUUAUUCUACAUAUUUUAUAUUUUUAUAAAGUAUUGUACACAUCAUGUUAAUUUUUCUCCAAAUUAAAUAAUUAAAUAAAUCUAACUUUUGGUUUACAUAUUUCCUCAUCAUUAUUCUUCUUUUUUUCACACUUAUAAUACUAGUCUUACUAUAGUUGUAGAAUUCAACGAUAUAUCACUUGGUGCUAUAUUCAAAUAAUUAUUAUUCCAAUAAAAAAAAAAAUUAUGGAAAGAGUUUUAUUUUCAAAUUAAUUGUUUGUCCUCUUAGUUAUUUAUGUUUGGUUUCUUCACUUAAUAAUUAAUCUUUUUUAACGUAGACAUUCAUCGUUCUUUAGCAACAUGUACGGUCAUCGUUCUUAUUUAAUUUCAAUAAAUAAUAUUUAAAUGAAUUUAUAAGGUCAAUUUACUGUUUUUCAGCAUAUUGUUUCACUUGUUAUCGGACUGUUAUCAGAUUAUUCAUUAAUGUCUAGUCUCACGUUCAGAAUGUAUAUACAUCAGUGUGAGAGGUGAAAACAUUAAAAAUUCAUCGACAAUAUUUUUUUUAUAAACUUCCGAUAGACCAAAAUCUAUUAAUAAUAAUGUGGUAGAUAAUAUUUAAUGAAUGAAUUUUAUAUCUAACCGUAAUUAUCAACAAAAAAAGUUGUUAAUAAUUAUAAAAGAAAUUAUUGAUAAUUAUAAAAAAAGAGUUGGUAAUUAUAUAAAAAAAUUUGUCGAUAAUUACAUGAAAAAUUCAUUAGUAAUUAUCGAAGAAAUUUUUUUUUGAUAAUUAUUAAAAGAAAUUCGUUAGUAAAUUAUGUAAGUAAAGGUGUUGCUCCCUCCACCUUCCCAUUUUCUCCCUCUACCUCUCCAACUUUCUUCAAUUUUUUUCUAUUACAAAAAUAACUUUUUUUAUCCUUUUUAACUUUUUUUUUAUAUUUUGUUUUAAUGUUAGUAAUCAUCAAUCCUACUUCAUCCUUACCUUUUUACAGUUUCACCUCUCCCACCUCCUCCAAACUUUUGAAUAUUUGAAUAUAGAUAUAAAAGGUUAAUAAAUUAUUUAUCUUCUCUCCCACAUUAUUCUUGUAUUCACUCAUCAUCUUCAACAUAUGCACAACUUGAGUUUCUCCAGAAUUUUCUUUUCAUGUAUAUCAGAAAUAUCGCUUUUAUAGAAUUCAAAUACUAGUUUCUCAAAAUAUUGAAAUCUAUCUAACUAUUUAAGUAAACUCUCAUCUUUCUUCACAAAUUUUCUGAUAAACACGGGAUUGAGAUUGAAACCUUAACCACGUUCUACAAAAUAAAAUUAUCUAUCAACCCGUGUCAUAAUAUUUAUUUUACAUGAUCGAAAAGGAGGAAGAAAAGUUAAAAUGGAUAAAAUUAUUUAUUAAUAUAGUUUUAUGUAGUAGAAAGUAAAAAUUGAUUUGAUGUUUCGAAUAUACUAAAAACUAAGAAAUGAAAGUAAUUUAUACUGGCAUAGAUAUUAAUGUUGGGUAGCAUAAAACGUAGCGCAUCCCAAUCAGUGUUGGGUUCCAUGGCGCUUUUUCAAUCAUCCAAAAGGUUCGUCAUCUCCAAUCUCCUCCUUCCCUUCUCGAAAUCUUCUUCAACAGCCCUUAAUCCCCUUCGUCAAGUUCAAAUAUUCACCACAUUAUCCCAAACCCACAAUCCAAUUUUCUUAUGAGCCUCCAAAACACACCACAUUGGCCUUCCACGCGGUCCAAUCUAGGUUCACAUCCAAUGCCUUCUACAGAAUCUUAUCCAACUCUUGUGACUCCACCGUUACCGUCUCUCUUGCUGAUGUUGUGGUGAAUCCCUUGCCGGAGCUGAUGUCUUUUAUCUUAAACGGAUAUUGAGAUCCGUGAACGGAUCCUCGUAUAUCCGUUUAAAGGAGAUUUCAAAGGUUAUUGAAAGGAUAAAAUAAGAAUAAAGUAAAAGGUAAUAAAGGAAUGAAAAGGUGGAGGGAACAAAUAGGGAGGUGUAGGGAGUAACUCCCUGUACUUCACUUUUUUUUUUUCUUUUUAAGAAUUCUAAUUGUUGUAGAAAUUGGGAAAAAUCCCUAAUCUAUUUUUCAAAAUGCCUCCCUUUCUUCAUCACACACUGCAGGUACGGUCAUGCCAAUCAAGAGAAUUCCAGCCGUGGGUUUCUUUUUUCGUUGCAAGUUUUGAAAUCAUGAUCAUGACAAAAUGCUACAAAAUGAUUGGGAAAAUCCUAAUUUCUGAAAAAUCCCUAACGUCGCAAUUCAAGAUUUCUGCUGCUCCUUUGUCAUUCCCAAGCAGAUCCUUGUGGUGUUCUCCCUUUAUCACAUGUGGUGAUUCUAUGUACUUGAAGGAAGAGAUGGCGGCGUGCAACACUAUUUCGAUUAGUUCUCUAGCGCUUUCGCGUGAUGUAAAGGCUAAUCUGACGCUUGUGGUGGUCACGGCGGGAGUUGUGGUGGUGAGGAGUGGUGGUCUGCAUUUUUGGCAGUGAAGACACGCUGCUGCUUCUUCUCCACUGGUAGAUGUAUUUUUUUUGGCACAUCCAUCUUUCUUCGUUUUGUUCUAUUGGAGUUGCGGUGGAGACAUGCAAGACGCUCCUUCUUUUUCUUGCCAUGUUUUUUGAUAAUGUGAUAGCUUGUGAUUAGUUCGUUUUAAAUAUUUUUUAAACAUAAAUUCAAAUAGACCAAUAAAAUGAUGAUACGUGUUCCGUUAUAAAAAAAGUUGUCAAAAUAUCAUUGUCCUUAAAGUUUAUACACUUUCAAUAUUUAACAACAAAAUUGUCACUUUUUUUAUUAAUAAAUUUAUUGACGAAUUUUUUUAGUAAAUUACAAAUUAUCGAUGAAUUUAUUUAUGAAUUUUUUACGAAUGGAUUUACUUAUAGACUUUUUACUGGUAAAUAAAAUAUAAAUUAUCAACAUUUAAAUAUAAAUUUUGUAAUCAAUAAAUUAAAUAUAUAUUACAAACAGAAUUAUCAGCAAAAAAUCUGUCAUCAGUAGAUUUAUUUGUAAGAUUUAUCUUAACUCAUAUUUACUAACAAAUUUAUUUAUAUCUGUAAAAUUUUAUCGAUAAUUCUAUGAAUUUUGUAAUGUUUAGGAUUUCUAAUGUGACAAUAAAGACUAUUAUAAACUUACAACUAACACACAAGUGUAGACACUCAAAAUAAAAUUGAAUAUAAGUCCCAUACAGAUGAGAAAAAAAUAUUUACAAGUCCUCCAGUUAUCUUAGAUAUUCUAUAAGUCUUUUAUACUAAGGAAAACAGUUCAUGAGUGUUUUUAUGUUAUUAUCUCAAGACUAAACAAGUCUUUCACACACAAGAAAAAGAUCCACAAGUUCUCUAGGGAUUUUACCUAAGGAAUUAAAUAACACAAAAGAAAAAUGGUCAUGAAUGAUGUAGAAAUUCUUAUCCCAAGAUUGAGCAAGUUCCCUAAACAUGAGGAAAAAAAACAUGAGUGCUCUAAAGAUACUUGUUACAAAUAGUAAAUAAGUCUCUUAGGCAUGAGUGCUCUAAUGCUUUAAGAAUUCUACACACAAAGAAAAUGACCCUGAUGAGUGUCUUAGGCUUCUUAUCCCAAAGAUUGAAUAAAUCCUCUUUACAUGUAAAAAAGUAUAAGAAACUACCAAAAUUCCCGUCUCCACGGUUAAAGUAUCCUAAUUCAGAUACUUGGAGGAAGAUAUAAAGGUGUCCAUUUUUUAAAUACAAAGAGAUUACACUUUGAUUGAAGGUAACAAGUAAAACAACUUAAUGAACUAAUUAAUGAUUUCUUAUAAGGGUUAAAUAUGUUUUUGGUCACUUAAUUUUUUAGUGAAAAUUGGAAUUAGUCCAUUUUUGAAACUUUGGACUAAUUUAGUCCCUUAUCUUUAAAACUGCAUGAAUUUAGUUCCUUUAACCAAAUUUUGUUAAGUUUAUUUGAGGUUUCAAAUGCAUUUCUCAAUUAACAUUGAAAAAGAAAUGUUUUAAACAGUGUAAAGAACUCAAAUGCUAUCAUGAAAUACGUUUAAAAUGUCAAAUACACUUAACAAAAUUUAGUUAAAAAAACUAAAUCUACAUAUUUCUAAAGUUGAGGAACUAAAUUAGGUCAAAGUUUCAAAAAGAGACUAAUUCUAAUUUUCACUGAAAAUUAAGUAACCAAAAACAUAUUUAACCUUCUCACAAAGAUAACCCCUCUGUAAAAAAAAAAAUUAACACAUGAAAAAGAUUAUAGUCUUCUUCUAUUCAAUAAAUAAACCAUCAAACAUGAAAAAUAUGCAAAACAAUAACUCAACUUCAUAAAAGAAUAAGAUGUAAAAAAAAAAUCAUAAAUCUACGGAAGUCAUAGGAUAUGUCUAAAGUCACCAUCAUACUAAAAAUUACUUUAUAAAAGUCACCAUCCCUAUUAUUUAUCCAUGAUUUUUUCAUCUUCAACAAUUGUGAUGAAAUAUAGAUAAGAUUUCAACCUAACUUAAGCAAGUCUUAUCAUUAAGUCCAAAGAAUUAUGUAUUGAUAGAUAAGAUUUUGAUUUAUUUUAAGCAAGUCUUAUCAUUUAAGACUAAUAAGAUACAAAUAUCACCUGAUAAAUUACAAUAUAUUCAUAUUGUAAGAUUUUAUUACAAUUAAGCUGGGAUAAAUACAUAAUAUAUACGACUCAAAUUUGAAGAACAAUCUAAUAUAUCUUAUUAUAAAUAAUCAAGAUCAAAUAAUUGUUAAAUCAAGAUAAUAAUAAUAAAAAAAUAAAACGAAAAUCACAUAUACAAACCUUAACAUUAAGAAAAGAAUUAUAAGAAAAAAAAAUACUUAUAUAUAAAUAAGAUUGAUAAAAAUAAAACAAAAUACUUUAAUAUAGAUCAUUAUAUCAAAUUAUCUCCACAAAAGACAUCAUGGUAGUUGAAAGAAUUAUUGUUCUUAAUCAUUUUGAAGAAGAAAUAUUAUCAUAGAUAUAAUUGGGUUCAAAUUCAGUUAUCAUAACUAGAUAAAUAAAACUAGUAAUAUCUUCUUUGAUAAAGUAGUGAGAAUUUAAAAAAUAAAUAAAUAACCUUUAAAUAUUAUAUUUUUUGUUUUAAAACUUACACUUGCACUUAAGUAUUAUAAUAUAAACUUAAAUAUCAUCUUAGUUCGUUAUUGUUAAAGGAUUGAGUUUUUAUUUUGCUUAUUGUAGAAGGAUUUAUCGUCAUUGAUUUAUUUAUUUAAUAAGUGUUAUUAGGCUUAGAAAAUAUGAGUUGACUUUUUAUUUUGUUAAGAAUUGAAGUAAAAAUCCAUUUAUAAAAUGUUUGUUGAUAAUUUAUGGAUGAAUCAAAAAAUUUGUCAGUAUUUAAUAACAAUAAAUAUUUGUCAGUGAUUAUUGAUGUCCCAAAAUUUGUUGAUAAUAUUUAUCAGUAACUACUAAUAAAUUUUGAUUGUUUUUAAUUGUCAUUAGGUCUUUUUCUUUAUUGUCUUUUUUUAUUCUUCCUUGUAGCUCUUGAAAGAUCAUGUCUAUGGAAAGAGUGACUUUUGUGUGAGAUUGUGUGUAUUAUGAUGAGCAACCAAGAAAAAGUAAGAAGACUUAUAUAGUAGAGAGUCCACAAGUGACAAAAGUAAAACUAGAAAAAACAGAUAAGCGCGAGAUAGAAAAAGAGAACUUUCAACACAAUUGUAUUAUGAAUAUAAAAUGUGUAUAGGAAAAUGAUAUUUUAACAUCAUUUUUUGAUACCAUUUUGACACUGUACACGUGUACAGUGUCAAAAUGUGAUUGGACGAUUUCAAAUUAAAAAAAUUGAGGUAGGGAUAUAUUUGGAAGAAAAAAACCAAAGUUUGUUUUUUUAAUUUGAAAUCAUCUAACCACAUUUUGACACGUGUAAUGUCAAAAUGGUGUUAAAAUAUUAUUUUCCAAAUACAAAUUAGUAAAAGGAAAAUAAAAUUUUAACAGCAUUUUUUGACACCAUUUUGACACUGCACACGUGUCAAAAUGUGGUUGGACGAUUUCAAAUUAAAAAACAACCUUUGGUUUUUUUCUUCCAAACAUACCCCUGUCUCAAUUUUUUUAAUUUAAAAUUGUCCAAUCACAUUUUGACACGUGUGCAGUGUCAAAAUAGUAAUGGUGUCAAAAUAUCAUCUUCCUUCCCUGUGACACGAUCAUUGUGUCACUGGACAUAUAUAUGUCACACUAUAAAAAACUUUGACUUCUUCUCCUCUUUUUUUUUUUUUCUCUUAUUUAUUUAUUUCCUUUUCACUUAUCUCACUUAACUUAUAAAAGAACUCAUCACAUUUUCUAAAAAUUUUGUUGUUUUUUUACUAAUAGGUAAUAAGAAUUUUAUCAAUAGAUUUGGUCAAAACAAAAAAUGAGCAGUGUGUCACUCUUUCUAAUAACAUUUAUCGAUAAAAAAAAAUCUGUUAGUAAUAAUUACUAAUAAAAAAUAUUCAUCAAAAAUACAAAUUUAAUUUACUGACAUAUAUUAUUGACGAUUUUUAUGGAUGAAUUCGUUACUAACAAACAAAUAUUUGUGUUGAUAACUAAAAUUUUAAAAUUCUGUUGGUAAAUUUAAUUUUACCAACAUAUUUAUUUAUUUCGAUAAAAUUUGGUCGGUAAUUAUAAAUUCUUUUUGAGAAAUAAAAAAAUUAGUAAUAGAUAUGAAAAAUAAGAUUCAUAAACAUUAAUUAUUAGGGUUUUAUAUUUAAACGUUAAUAUAUUGAAGAUAUAUGUGUUACUAUUGAAACAACCUUUUAUAUAUGUUAUUGUUGAAACAAUUAUGAAAGAUAAUUCACUCAUUCAUUUAUUCAUAUUUUCCUUCUCUGAUGUACAUUUAUAUAAGCAAUAUUAACCGCUUAUACUUAAAAACAACUUAAAGCAAGAAAAACUUUAAAUAUUUAAAACUGCAACAAUAAUUUAAAUUCAAAUUCUAUCUUCAACACUCCCCUCAUAUUGGCUCAUGAAUAUCACUCAUGUUAAUGACUUCGGCAAACACCCGUCUAACACCAUAGCCAAGAAUCACCGUGGUCUGAACGUCCUAGGAUACCUUCAUACACAACAUGGGGAGAGUCCGAUACGAGAGGGGAGAGUCCAAUACGAGAGGGGAAGUCCGAUACGAGAGGGGAGAGUCCGAUAUGAGAAGGGAGAAAGAUCGUUGGUUCAGUUCGAAGAGAAAAGUUUCAUCAAAUCCAUCCUAGAAUGUGCAAAGAAUUUAAGGAUUGAAAACAGUAAGAAAGUGUGUUCCCAAAAUUAAAUACACAGGUUAAAGAAGAGAUUUUUAGAGACUCCUGGUGACCAUGGCGGUCCCCGGCAAACAGCAAAAACAAAGUAACAAAGGAUCAGACAACCUGAUAUCAUAUUGAAAUAAUUAUGGGAGAUAAUUCACUCAUUCAUUCAGACAUAUUUAUACUUAAAAAUAGGAAAUAAUUUCAAACAAAAAAACAACUUUAAAUAUUUAAAACUUAUUCUAUAAUUACUGUAAGAUUUUUAUUUUUUUUUAUGUUUAUUUUAUGCCCGACGUUAAUGGAAUACAUUAAUUUACAUCGAAUUAAAUAUAUCUGACGUAAAUUUAAAUCGAAUUAUCCUAGUUUUGAUGUAAAAGCCACAAUUUGCGUUAAAUUAUAUUAGGUCCAACAUAAAAAAAUUUGUCAUCGCUAAGUUUCAAUGAAAUAAAUAAUUAUAAACUUGUUUCAGUGCGUAUUAUGUAUCAUAUGAAAAAUUUUAAUAAAUUUGAAAAAAAAGUUUGUAAAUAGAGAAAUCAUAAAUUAGAUAUAAAAGACAAAAAAUAAGAUGUACAAAUACUAAAGUCGAAAAAUGACUAAAAUAUCUAAUUUUCAGUUCAUCUCUGGCUUCAAUAUCUUUAAACAUGUAGAAUUCAACCUUGUCUAUGAAUAACUCAUCUCUUUUUUAGUUAUCCAACUUUUAUCUUAAAUUUGAUUUUUAUACUCACUUUUUUUCAAUUUUAUAAAAAAUAUUUCAUUUGAUAAUUAACUCAUAAAAGUGAACAAUUUGUUCAUAUAUGAAUUUUUCUUAAACAAUUGAACCGUAUUACAAUGAAAAAGGAACCUCCGGUGGAAUUAAAGUGAAAAAAGGAAUUCUCAUUUUCACAAAGAAAUUAAAUUUUAAAAUCAGAUAAUAUGUGUUAAUUAAUUAUUGCAACAUUUUUCUUGUAAAUUAAGUUAAACAUUAACUUUUUCAAUCCGUGGAAGCCAUCAAGUAAACUUGACGAAGCAAGCCACGAAAAAGGUUCCAAUAUGGCCUUAGUUGCUUCUACACUCACAGAAUAGAACAACGACAAACCCCAAAUUCAUAGAUCGAACCUUCUCAAAACCCUAAUUCCACCGCGAAAUUAUUUUCCUUUAACCAGAUCUCAAUCCCAUGGCCAAUAAAGAGUUCAAAGUCCCGCCGGUGGCUUUCCCCUCCGCCGGAAAUCCCGGCGGCGCGGCACCAAACCUCCAGCAGCGUCGCAUGCCUGCUCCGCCGUUCCAACCGAACUCUGGCAUUCCAUUCAUGUCCUUCGAUAUAGGUUCCGCCACGGCGUCGACCUCCUCGGGACCAAUCUACGCUGGCCCCUCCAUUGGGGGCGGUGGCUCCGCCAACUUCGACGAUGAGGAACCCCUUCUCGACGAGCUCGGGAUCCACCCAGACCAAAUCUGGAGCAAAAUCAGAUCUGUUCUGAACCCGUUUCGCGUCAACCACACGGUUCACAAAGACUCGGAUCUAUCAGGUCCAAUCCUCCUCUACAUGUCAUUUUGCCUCUUCCAAUUGCUCGCGGGAAAGAUCCAAUUUGGCGUGAUCCUGGGCUGGAUCGUGGUCUCUUCCAUUUUCCUUUAUUUCGUUUUCAAUAUGCUAGCCGGUCGAACAGGUAAUCUCGACCUGCACACCUGCACCAGUGUCGUCGGUUACUGUAUGUUGCCGGUGGUUAUUUUCUCCGCGCUCUCGCUCUUCUUGCCAGUGGAUGGGGUCAUUCGCCUUUCGGUCGCUGCGAUUUUCGUGCUGUGGGCCACGAGGGCUUCCACGGGUCUCGUCGUUUCGCUCGCUGAUGGAGGUGAUGAACAUCGAGGAUUGAUUGCGUACGCGUCUUUCUUGAUUUACACUUUGUUUUCGUUGCUUGUCAUAUUCUAGGGAUGUCGAUGGCACUGAGAUUUUUGGAUCCCUGUUCCUAUGGUUUUAGUUCUUCCUGCAUUGUGAACGUUGUAGUUUUUUUUGGUACAGUCUUAUUAUGGUAUAGAAAAUGGAGUUAUUAGUUUGAUUGAUUGUCUGUGUUUGAAAAGUUUUUCCUAGGUUACAUGCGUGCGUGUUGUGGAGCCAUAUAUAUAAAUAUAUAUUUAAUUUACCUUUUUGUUCUGAUUUUGCGAGGUUAUUGGUAAAUCUUCUUGCAAUCACGGUGUUUGUAUGUGACUGAGUGGUGCUAGAACGAAGGUCACAAGUUAUUAGCUAGCGAAUUGUGUGCUUAUCUAAAUUAGAGGUGGGUGUGCUUAGGUAAAUGAUAAACUCAGAUACAAUAUUACUAGUAUUAUUCUCCAAUUAGAAUUAGAGUUGGAGUUUCGCUUAAGUAAUCCACGUAAUAAAGGAUUCUGUACCGAGGUGAUACUCCAAAUUUAACUAGAUAAAGAUACUAUCCAUACUAUAGUACUACAUCUAAGUUUUGUCCUUUAGGUAAAUAGCUCAAUCAAGCAGUUGUUUAGCUGUUUGGUGUAAACAACUUGUACUUGUGUAUAAGUUAAUUUAUGUAAAGAGGAAAUAGGGUCAAAUUGUUUUCAUUCAGGUUGUAGGCUGUUUCAUACGUUAAAGUUGAAGAACUUAUUGCAGUAAGUUGAAAAAAUAGCUUAUAAACAUGUUAUGAUCUGAUUUUGUAUUUCACAUACUUGUACAACUACUUAUGUUAUUAUAAUAUAAAUCUAGAUAAGCUGUAAAUGAACUCUUACAAAUGCAUCUUAGUCAAACAGUUUGGGCUCUUCAAUUUACCUUAAUGAGAGAUUCAGUAUGAAUGCUUAGUGACCGUAGCUUCUAGCAAUGCCGCUGGGCUAAGGGGAUUUCAACUCAUAAGUAACAUGAUUUUGUGUGCUGGAGUUAUGACUAUUUGUUUGGGAGCAGGAAGAGGCUUUUAUAAAUGUAUACACUAGAAGGAACAAGAUAGCUAUUAGUUGAUUGGAAGUUGAGUAUAAAUCCGAGGGAGAUAUUGGACAAAGGGACAAUUGUAUUGUAAUAGAAAACCGUAUUGAGUUUUAAGGGGCAUUUUCCUUGGAAGGGUGUUUAUUGUGAAGUGAUACCCUUUAUUUCAUUCUCUACUAAGACUCACCUUCUUUGGUUAUCACCUAUGAAAUAUCAGCUUUGACAAACACAACAGGACAUGGCUAAUGUUCAAAAUAGAGGAUACGCGAACACAUCUAUGUAUACAUACAUAUAAUCAACUCGGCAAAAACCUUAAUUAAGAAUUAAGAUUUAUAUUUAUAUUCAUAUAACUCACAUUCUAAAAGCAAAUUUAUUAAGCUUUAUAAUUUUCAUAUAAUGAUGACUCUCUCAGAUAAAGUACCAAGAAAAACAUAUCUCUUGAUAGUUACUAGAAGUAAUUAAGUUCUAUGAAAAUGAGCUUGACUAUAAAAUGCUUUGAUUCUUGCUAUGUUUGUCUUUUGGGCUUAUCAGCUAUGAAACAUCAACUUUGACACAGACAACAGGACAUUACUAAUGUCCAAAAUAUAGGAUACGCAACAUCUCUAUGUAUACAUACAUAUAAUUAACAUGAAAAAAAAAUCCUGAUUAAGAUUAGGAGUUAUAUUUAUAUAAUUCAUAUUCUAAAAACAGUUGUUAAGCUUUAUAAUUUUCAUAUAAUGACGACUCUCUGAUAAAAUACCAAAAAGCAUAUUUCUUAAUAGUUACAAGAGGUAAUUAAGUUCCGUGAAACGAGCUUGACUAUAAAAUGCUUUGAGUCCUGCAAUAUUUAUAAUGGAAGUUGAUAUUUUUAUGAUAGGAGUGUCUCGAAAGUCUUUAGCCCCCAACAAUAAGUAUUAGUUUCACUGUUAGAAAUGUGUCCGUGUUGUAUUGAGUGUUUGGGUCUAAAAGAAUAAUUUUAAACGUGACAAUGUUUAUGGGUGUCAGGCGUCUGUCAAAGACAUGUCUAACAACAUGCCAGACACGCUGACACACUGCUCUAUAGGGUAUUGGUGGGUGUUUAUUAUCUCUAUUUAACUGGGGUAUAUGGUUCUUUCCUUUGAUGAUGGUAUUGGCUUGUUACGUUGAUAGAUUGUUUUGACAACAUUAAUAUUUAUGAUAACAUACCUUCAAAUUCACCAUGAUUAUGAUGGAUGGAAUAUACUUCGUAAGUAGCAUCUGGAAAAGCUGUAGAGUGUUGGCUUUGUGUUGAAGGAGCUUUAAGUAUGGUAAUGCAGCUUGAGACUUGGAUUGUCAUAAAUCUUUCACUAUCAAAGUUUUCCAUGUGCAAAGCAACCUUUAGGUGCAAAUUCCAUUUUGAUGUUCAUUUGCCAGCUUGCAGAAACAUACUGAAAUCUUGUUCUCAAUGUUUUGUAAUCCGGUAGCAAAUUUGAUUGGGAUAUUAUCUAUGAAACUUAAUAGUUUGCAGCAUGGAUAUCACAUUUUUAGCUCCUAGAAUUUAGUUUAAGAAAUAGUUCAAUUUUAUAAAGCUAACUUGUAGCAUGAGGACUACCUAAACUUUCCAACACCUUCCUCAUGUUUAGGGCUAUUGGUAUGUAGCAUGCCAAUUGUAAGUUUGUUUAUUAAUAUCAUGUUAGAAUUUAGGUUUAAAGUUUAAUUCAGUAUCGUAAAAUUGACUUUUGAGAGUUAAGACGAGGACUCUCCAAACUUUGAGUUUUAAUUAAGUUAUAUAUCUAAUCAAUACACACCGCCCUUGAGGAUGCAAUUAAGACACCUCCCCAAAGGAGGUCACAAGUAACGUGGUGGAGGGGUAACUGCAAUCGAGGUGGAUUUCCAUACUUUCCCCCUUAUUUAGUAGCACAUAUUUGAUCUAGAAUAUGGAUUCCGUGCUUUGAAUUGAAAUUCCUAAGGACUAAUAAUACAGACUGAGAGAUUAAUUUUAUGGAUGUAAUUAAUAAUCAGAGUUAUUACCGAGUAGAAUGAUGAUUUUGCUGGUUUAGUUGUAAACUGAAUUUAGUCAUUACGUAUUAGUCUGCUUAUUAGAUAUGCAGACUGAAUUUUUAUAUGAAAUAUUGAUUUUGUAAUUACAAUGAAUAUUUGAUUAUUACUUAAUUCCAGUUUUACCAAGUUUUGGUAAUUCUUAUAAACCUCUUGUAGUCGUUAUCUUCAUUAUCAUGUUGAGACGCUGCAACUUUUUCUAUUCUGUUGAAGUUGAUGGUUUUCGCGUUAACUGUGUCACGAUAUUGGUUAAUCUGAUUGAACUGUUACUCCUUCAGAAUCGGGCCUAUUGAGUGUUUGGUUUUGCCUACAGAUUGUAGGAUUAAUCCUCCUACACACCCUUAAAAUCUAUGGGUACCUCCAUCCAUUCCUGAGCAUGCUUUCCCGAAUGUAUUUUACAUUUCAGGAAAGUACAUUUUGAAAUAAAUAACAAGUGUUUCAAGAAUUUUAUAGGGUGUAGGAAAAAGUAUCCCAGACUGUAAUGCUCUUAGGCUAUUUUUCGUUAUAGUUUAAUACCAAUAAAAAAAUUCAGGGAAUUGAUAAAAUAUGUUUUUAUUCUCUAGAAUAAAUUAAUUAAAACACUCAUUUUUUGGUAUUGUGUACGGCCUCCCUCUGGGAGCAUAAAAGGUUCAUAGAAUCAGAACGCAAAGGAGGUAAGCGAUCUAUAUGACUAAUGUGCUGCGAUAUAUCAUAUAGGGCUUGAACUGUCUCUUGUUUGGACCUAUGGUGGAUUAACAUCAUGGGUGUUGAUAGAUAGAGUUGAGUUUAAUUAAAACCACCUUAGAAAGAUAUGUAAUUCAGACUUUAGAAGGAUGUUCAAUUAUCUCGGAGUCAUUCUUGAUCUAAACAAGAGGCAAUUUAGGAUUUGAACCUUCGACGUAUUACGGACCAUGUGGGAUGUUCAAUUAUGUUGUUGUAUCUAAAGAGAAAGGAGGAGGAAGAGUGGAGGGGACAAGAAAUCAUAACAAAAUACGAAUGUCAAGACCGAAACGAAGUUUGGUGGAACGCUUCAUCAUCUGGGUAGGUUUACAAAAUAUGCAUUCAGCUUUUCUUUUACGAGGCCUCAAAACUACAAGGUUAUGGUAUAUGGGAGAUGAUGACCUGGUUCCCAUUUUAAACAAAUACUGGCACAAAUGGGGAAGUUGAUUCUGAUAUACGAAGCAACAUCAAACUUUGAUAGGUUGGAAUUGGCAAAAAUAUUGGUGAAUAAGAAUCUGAGACAAUUGUAGCAUAUAACGGGAUGCCUGAAAGUUAAGAGCAAGACACAAGUGACAGGAAAGAUAUGCAAUGACAUUGAAAGGGAUAAACAUAGCAUUGUUUUAGAAAAGAGUACGAGGGAAUUGGGGCCUAAUGCAAUGAUCCGUAGAAGUGUGGUGUGUGGGCCAAAGAGAGAGGUAAGACAUUAAACAGAUCGAACUACCCGGUGUUGUCCUUUCACCUCUCCAAGUGCUCCUCUACCUCCUCAUUAUUUUCAUUUAUUUAAAAAUUCUACACAUCGUCACUAUUUUUUUUUAUUCCAAAAAUAUUCUACACUUCCUCACUAUCCUCAACAAUCUUUCUCUUUCUCUCUACAUUAAUGGAGCAUUCACAUGGUUCAUAUUUGAAUUUGUGAUAUAUUACAAAAUAUAAAAUUAAUAUUAAUACUUUCACCAUUUUUAUUUUAUAAAAUUAAAAGUUAGAUGUAAAUACAAAAUAAUAAAUAUAAUAAUAUUAAUAGUAAAUAAUGAUAUAUUAUUAUUAUAUACUAACUUUAUAAUGACGAAAGAACUAAAUAAAUUCUAAGUCUUUAACAAAUAACUUUUUUUUUAUAUUUUAAGUGUUUAAUAAUAUUUUUAUAUUAUUUAUUUAAUAAAUUAAAUAUUUUAUUCAAGUUAUUUGAGUCAAACAUGUCAGUGAAACAUAAUAUAAUCUUAAAAAUUAUAGAUAUUAUAUGUAGAAAAAUACACACAUAUAUAUAUAUAUGUAUAUAAACAUUUUUUCUAGAAAUUUAUAACAAAAUUUUGACAAGAAAAAAAAUAUAUUCAACAGCGGAAAAAAAGAAAGAUUGUUAAGGAUAGUGGGGAGGUGUAGGGUAUUUUUAAAAUAAAAAAAAUAGUGGAGAAAUUUAAAAUAUUUUUGAAAUAAAUUAAAAUAGUGAGAAGGUAAAAGACCCGUUUGGAGACGUGGAAGGAGUAACACCUUAAGAAUUAUUAAGAAUUAUGGGUUAAUUUCAUUGACUCUUCACCUGCAAUUCUAUGAGCUAGUAUGCAUGAACAAAAUUUUAAAAUAAUAAUUUAUAAUUUUGUUUUAAUGUUUCACUUUUUUGUUGCAUUCCAUGAGUGCAUCGUUGACAUUAAAAUUCAAAUAAACUAAGUAAAUAUAAAAUUAAAAUCUAUAUCAAAUAAAUAUGUUAAAGUCAAAUAUUUUAUGAAUAAAGAAGUAUAAAAAUAAAUUAUUAAAUAUAAAAAACCUAUAUCAAUUAAUCAACGUUAAAUACAAACAAAAAAGAGAACAGGAAUUCAAACAUAAAGUGAAGAAAUAACAAAAUAAAAUAAAAGUUUUAUUUGACUUACAAAUUAAAAUAGAAUAUAUAUAUUUUUGUGGGUGAUACACGGUAGUUCAUCCUAUCUUGUUGGUCGACAUAUUCUACAGGUCAUAAAAGAUGACAAGUAAACAUACUAAAUUACUGUUCCUUAUUUUUUUUCUUGUAAGCUUGCGUACCGAACCACGUAACUCGUAUUUUUUCUUGGUCGACAUAUACUAAAUGUUACUCCCUCCGUCAUCCCAUCUGCAUCUCUUUAUUGUUUUUCUUAUUUCAAAAAUAUUCUACAUUUUUUCAUUAUUUUAUUCUAUUAUAAAAAUAUCCUAAAUCCUCAACAAUCUUUUUCUUUAUCUCUCUAGAUUAAUAAAACAUUCAUAUGACUCACAUUUGAACUUGUGAUAGAUUGUAAAACAUAAAAUUCAGAUUUUGUUCUAAAUUUCUAAAAAAACAUUUAUAUAUAUAUAUAUAUAUAUAUAUAUAUAUAUAUAUAUAUAUAUGUGUGUGUGUGUGUGUGUGUGUGUGUGUGUGUUUUUACAUCUAAUAUCUAUAAUUUUUAACAUUAUAUAUUAUUUUAACUUACCAACAUGUUUGACUCAAAUAACUUGAAUAAAAUAUAUAAUUUAUUGGAUAAAUGACAUAAAAAUAUUAUUAAAUACUUAAAAUAUAAAAGAAAGGUUAAGAAUUUAUUUAGUUCUUUUGUCAUUAUAGAGUUAGUAUAUAAUAAUAAUAUAUUAUUAUUAUUUAUUAUUAAUAUUAUUAUGUUUAUUAUUUUGUAUUUGCAUUUAACUUUUAAGUUUAUAAAAUUAAAGUGGUAGAAGCACUAUAUUGAGUUUUUCUCUAAAGUUUAUAUUUUGUAAUAAAAUACAAAUUCAAAUUUAAGCAUGCUCCAUUAAUGCAGAGAGAAAGAGAAAGAAAGAUUAUUGAGGAUAAUGGAGAGAUGUAGAGUAUUUUUGAAAUAAAAGAAAAUAAUAAAGAUGUGUAGAGUAUUUUUGAAAUAAAAAACAAUAGUGUAAGGUAUAGGAACACUUAAGGUGAUGCAUAGAACAAUACCCGAUAUAUAAUUAUAGAUUUCAAAAUAAGUUUUAAAUUAACAAUAGUCUAAUUAUAAUACAAAUAUUGAUAAUCUUAUUUUGCUUUAAGUUAAUUAAUAUCAGUAAAAUGAUGAUCGUAUGAUCUAUCAUGUAGAUGUAACCAUACGACCAGGUAAUAAUAAAAUCUCAGUAAUAUUAUACUUUUAGUUUAAGACCGUGCAAUCUAUUUUUUUUAAACAAUCUUUCAGUGGGUAAUAAUAGAAUCUAUCUUCAAUUAAAACAUUAAUGAUUAUAGGGUAAAAACAUGAGACACGAUGCAUUUUAUAUCAUAUUUAUUAACUUAUACUUAAAUAAAUUAAAUAAUAUGUGAUAAUUUCGAGAACAUAACACGAAGAAUAAACAGUGACUGCAAUUUUAUAAAUAUAUAUUGUACGAAUAUGUAUAAUAUUCCAAUUCCGUAAAUAAGAUUACAUUAUUCAUAUAAAUUCAUUUUCUGGAUUAUAUUGUUUCUAAAAUCAUAUAAAAAAAUAUAAUUAAGUCCAAUCGAAAAAUUCAAGUUACAAUGUUCUUAACAGUUCGAAUAUUGCUUUUGGUUCAAUUUUAUGAUUUGUAUUAUUUGAUCAGUAUAGUUAUAAUAUGUUUUCCUUUAGAAUCAGCUUAAGUGUAAUCACGGCAUCCCUUCUCACAUAUUAAAAUAUGAUUUUUAUGUCAAAAAUUGUUGACACAGUUCACCACUUGUUUCUCUAAAGUAAGUAUUAGAGUCGGACUUUUUUACUUGAAAAUAGGGCCACCAUUAGAAAUAACUUUUAUUCAUCACAAAUAAACUGAUUCAAGUAAAUUUUUAUAUUUAAAAAAAUAAAAAGUAAAAAUAAUAUUAAAUGAAUAUAAAAAAUUUAUGUAUGUAAGAUUAUCAGUGUUUAUUAUUAUGUAUGGAUAACUCUGUGUAUACAUGAGUGUGUUGACAGAUGUAUUUUAAAGUAUCAUAACCUAAUGCAUAUAUGAGUGUGUUUACAAAUGUAUUUUUUUUGUGUGUAAAAUGUUAAUUUAUUUCAAAAUAACGUCAUUUAAUCCUUCAUAGCUUGAAGCCCUUCUUUGAUUUUUUGUCUUGGAAUCCUUCAAACUAAACUUAAAAAAGACAGGUCUAGUUUAUAUAUAUAUAUAUAUAUAUAUAUAUAUAUAUAUAUAUUAUUAGUGCAGAAAGAGCUUUAGACGUAAGUUAUUGUGGGCUUUUAACGUCACUAUCAGAAUUGAUGUCUAUAUGGUGAUGUUAAUAGGACGUCGGUUUUUUGUAAAGACAAGAUCGAUAUAGACGUCUGUUUAGUUACAAGCCCGACGGCUACAAAGACAUCUGACAAUGCGCUAACUGACGUCUAAUCUUACUUUAGACGUCGGGCUGUAGAACUUGGGACGUCUAUAAAGCCGUCGAACUUUGCAUUAACCGACGUCUUUGGGACAUCAUAGACGUCAGUUUGUACAUUAACCGACGUCUAUGAAGUGAUCGUUGUGUUUUGGUGCGGUUUUUGUCGUGUCUUGGGGUAGCGUAGUAGCAUCUCCUUCCUUUGCUAGUUUCUUCGUAAGAAAAAGUUGUCUUUUGGACUUCUCAUGGUAUUUCAACCCAAAGACAAACUUGGAUCGUUGCCAUUCCGACCGCCACUAAAAAAGAAUACGGUGAGAAUACACCGUAAACUUUUUCGUUGACGGUUGGAAUGGACAUAGGCAACAACCCAAAUUCGUCCUUGGAUUGAAAUGCCGUGAGAAAUCCAAAAAACACAAGUUUUCCUUAUGAGGAAACUAGAAAAAGGAGAAGGUGCAUUAUGCUACACAAAGACACAACAAAAAAACUGCAUCAAAACACAACGAAAACUCAUUUUAAUCAGUUCAAAUGAGAGAUAAUACAUUAAAGAUUACUUUAAUCAGAGUAAAAAAAACUUUGAAUAGUUAAAAGGAGAGGAAACUUACUUGGAAAUGCAGAGCAGCUGAGAGAAAACACAAAGACGAUCAAAGUGUUGGUUUGCAAACCAUUGGUUCGCAGUGUUAUAUAACAAGAAAUUAGACGUCUGUUGUGAACAAAACCGAAAUCUACAAUGGCAAAUACGUCGGACGCCUGACUAAUUUGACAUCCAUUCGAUUUAAAAAUUAAUAUUUAUUUUGUAUAUAGACGUCGGCUUUGAGGCAUGAGACGUUUCGUGGGCGGAAACGAAUGACUUUUCACAUACCUGGUAGGAUUAUAGAGUUCGGCACCUGAGGCAACGAACGUCUAUAUGUCUGACAGGUUGGUGAGUAGCAUAAUUUCCGCCAUAUAGACGUCGGACCCCAUCAAUGUGGCGGGAUCCGACGUCUAUAAAACUGAAAUUAAUGCUACUCACCAACCUGUUAGACAUCAGUUAGCAGCAGCCCGACGUCUAUAUGUCUGACAGGUUGGUGAGCAACAUUAAUUUCCGUUAUAUAGACGUCGGAGUCCCGACUAACUGACGUCUAUAACGCUGAAAGAAAUGACUUUCCAUAUUAUAUUCAGAAAUAUAAACGUCAGGUUGGAAGGACCGACGUCUAAAAUACUACAUACAUCAGAGAUUGAUCUAAAAAAUGCCUAUAUUAUCAAUUUAUUUACGAAAAUGUCAUCAGUUAUCAAUAUACAUCGAACUUACUUUUAACCGACGUCUAUAAGGUGAUUCAUCAGCGUUUUUGUCCUGGUGUAUAUUAAUGUUAUGUGAGAAAUAAGACUUGAGUUAUCUUUUAUAGAACUGAAAGUGAAUUCAAAUUUAUAUGUUUUAAGUUUAAUCGAAACCUGCACUGUGUUCAGUAGACUGGAAGGUUUAAUCAGGCAUUUAAAAGAGUACAGACGCGAAGGGUCAAUCGAUCAAGUUAGGAAAAAGCAGAUGUGAAAGAGGAGGAAAGUGAGAAUAGGAUGAAAGUUUUGGCAUCUGAGUGGUGGCAUAUAAUAUAUUAAUUUUAUUGGGUUGAAAAGGUUGUUGUGAAAGAGAAAGUGAAAAGGAAGGAAGAAGAGAAACCCUAAACUAAUAAAGGAAAGGAAAGGAGAUGGCGCACCAAACCUCUUAUUGGUUUAUAUAAGAUGACCUCAUAGGAUUAUCCAGGAGGUAAUAAUAAUACACGUAGUACACUAUAAUACAGAAGGUACACAUUGGAUGUGAAAGUAAAAGCAUAGCAUACACACUAGUCAAACUAGAUAAUGAUUAACUUGGUUCAGCGAGUUAUUUGAGGCACAUGUGAAGCGAGUUACUGAAACUCCUUUGUACUUAUCGCUUUAUUCAAUACUACACUACUACUUGUUGCAGUGGUAAAUAAGACCAAGCAGAGCUAAGAGGUAUAGCUAGGAAGCUAGCUAGCGUCUUCUUGCAGCCGUUUCCCUCUGUGCAUUGAAGUAGACAGCAGCCACUGGGAGCCCAAGCUCGUUCUGUGCUGCGAAACUGCGUGUGUUGAACUGAUCCCUUGAAGUUGGUGGAGUAACACACUGCCUACGCUUUUGCUUGAACAGGACAAACACAAACCUAUGGAUCCCAAUAUUAGGUUUCGGGAUCUCAUAGCUCACCAACUCUUUCCCUACAAAAAAAACAUCAUAUUUCGUUUGUCAGUCUCUCUCAUCAUCCGAUCAGCACACACAGCAAGUAAGUUUCCACAUAUAUAUAUAUAUACACACACACACAUUUUUCCUAGUAGAUCAAUCAUUUACAUGAACCUACCAAAUGUAGCAUCUGUUGUGCCUGGAAUGUCUGUCACUAUCCUGCAAAAAGAAUAUUUACAACAAAAUUAUUGACUGUUAGAUAACUAAGAAUACUUUACCUUAUGUGUGUGUGUGUGUGGAUGCAGUUCUGUUAUGUUUGUUGUUGAGACAUCGAGAUUUAUUCACCCUUUAAGACUGUUUUUUGUUUUAGGGUGGGUGGACGAAGAUGGUAGCUAGAAUAGCCAACUUCUUACAACUUUUACAGAAUACAAAGGUAUGUAUACAGUAUACUUAUAUGUUUAUUACCUCUAUAGUUUGAUGUUAUGAAUGUCGGGUGUUAAACCGGUUCCUUACUUUCAAAGUGUUAAAUGUCAUAAAAUUUUCAUUUGGGUAGUCUAAGUAUAUUUAAACGAAGUUUAUCCUUAUGUUAAGUACCAGUGCAAGUGUUCUCUCAGAUAAGGGUCACUAGGGCCUGGAACAUCAGGGUCUGUCAUGAUCUGCGCCAAAAAAGAGACAUUUUAGUUUAAUGAUUCAGUGUUUUGUAAAGGGCAGACUUUCAUUAAAAGAGACAUAAUGCGUGAGCAUGAUUGAAGAUAUAUGUAUAUAUAUAUAUAUAUAUAUAUAACAACAAAUAAGAAAUAACAGCUGAAGCAUUUAAAUUAUUGAAGUUAUAAUUUGUUGUUUAAAGAAAAAGAGGAAGAGAAAUAGAUACCAGUGUGAAAAAGGAUCUCAUAUCAUCACCCUCAAUCUCAACCUUGGGUUUGAUGUUGAUAGAUGAAGGGAAAAACUCAUGGCCAUUGUAGACUUGCUUUUUGUUAUAAGUCACAGUCAUUUUUGUGGUUGUGGUAAAAGAGUCAAGAACCUCUCCUAUGACUCUCCCCACUAUAAGAGGUUCCAAAGGCAUUCUUGCCAUUACAAAUAAGGUUUAGAGAACAAAGUUUAGAGAGUGAAACUGAGGAAUACAAGUUGAUAGACCUGCUUAGAAAGCAUGUCUUAGCUCCAUAUUUAUAAUGUCUUCCAAGCUACAGUGUUUCCCCUUCCUUUAAAUAAUGCUGCAAAAAUUCAAAAAGCUAAAAUAAACAAGAUUAUUAAUAAAUCAGGUGCAUCCGUGCAGGUUCUGCCAUCACUCUUAACAUAUAUUAAUUUGGCACAUUUCAUAAUUGCCUUUGGCUCUAGGAUGUUUGUGCUGAAAUAUCACAUUACUCAUCAACGUGACAAAUUAGCCUUGCCCUUCUCUCUCUCUCUCUCUACUCUGCUCCUAAACACAGAAGAUGGGUCCCUUCGAAUAGGUUCUUAAUUGAUUGGCUGUACAAAGAUGCAUGGAUUUCUCACUCAAUAAAGCAUUUUUCUUCUCUUUCUUGUCUAUACCGCAGUUGUAAAAAAUACGAAAGAAAGAAAAUUCCUGUUAUUUUUUUUUCCUUUCUAAUUCGAUCAAGUCAGAAAAAGCAUCAUGUGAAAUCCUGUGUGUGGGUCCUUUCCCUUGCAAGUUGACAAGCUUCUCCCCUUUUAUUAAACUAAAAGCAUAAAAAGGAAAAAUUCUGAGAAACGGUGGCUGGCUAGGCCUCUUGAACAACACCCACAUUUUUAGCAUUAGUUCCAUGGACUUGCAGAAGUUUUUGGUGUAUGCCUUGCGUAGAGAACCUUCCUUAAUAGCAUGCAUACAAAAUAGAAAUUUGUUUUUGUGGGUUCUUUCUUUUAAUAUUGUUGGAAGAUAUUCUUGAGGAAGAGAGCAUAAUUAAAGGAGGUCCACCAUAAAUGCUGGAGGCUACACAUGGCUAUGGGACUAUCAUGUGUGAGUGCCUAUGAGGUCUUUUCAGAAUAAAAUUUAACUCUCACUAAGAUUCAUUCCAAGUUCCAAGAAUGGUAAAAGAGAAGGUCGACCUUCUUCUUGUAGAAACCAUUUUCCUCGUGUUAUUCAAAUCCUGUUUGAAUUCUUUUGCUGGUGAAAUGGGUUUGAUCACAUAUUCUAAGAAAAUAAACCCAUUGGUUCGUACGUAUAAUUAAUUUAGCAGACUUUGGUUUUAUAUUAUCAUGAUUUGAAAGAAAGUCGAAUAUAUAGACCGCUUAUUGCAUAAACUAAUUGCAGGUAUCGUUUCACUGUGAAAACAUACAUUAUUUAAAUUUCAUGGAGCUUAUGAUAUUCUAACAUUUGUUCGUCUGAAACUCUUUGUUGCCUCUUUUGGUUUUGAGUUCAUAUUCAUGUUUCCAAAUUUGGAUAGUUUAAGUUUUCUUUCAUAAAGUUUCAAUACCAUUAUACUAAUUAAGUUGCUUAUGUUUAUCUUUUAGUCACUAUUUUCUUCGUUUAACUUUAGCAGAACUUAUUGUGUCGAUUAAGCACAGAAUAUUCCUUAGUCAUAUUGGUAUUAUAUACAACAGAAUUUCUUUUUUUUUUUUUGCAUUUUAUAUUUAGCUUUAUAUACUUUUGGUAUAAAUUUUAUAGUAUAAGCUAAUUAAACAUUACAUAAACUAACAUUUUUUUUAACUAUGUCAUAGUUCACGAUUUGAUUAAAAUGUAAACUUUGUGUACACUAUCAUUGUAUUCCAAUUAAUUUCAAAUAAUAUAGAAAAUAUGAAUACACAAAAAAAUAGACAAUUUUGAAGAGGUUAAAUUGAUUAUUUCAUCGUGUAAUUGUUUUUUUUUUUUUAAUUUUGAUAAUGUAUAAUACAAUCUAAAUUUGUUAUACAAUGUUGUUCACUGUAAAAUUACUUUCUCACGAUAUACAUCUUGUUCGUGUGUGGACGAGAUGAUAAGAAAUCAUACCAGAAAAACAAUUUUUUUUUAUUCUUUUGGUUCAGCUUUAUUAUUUAAAAUAAAAAAGGUCUGAAAAAUCUUAUCAUAAAUUUUGUUUUUUUGAGUUUCCACCCCUCUAAUUUGAUGACAUGAAACAAUUCUAAUAAUAAAAAAAAAUAGAUUCUUAUUUAUAUAACAAAUGAAUUUUUAAACUUUUAAAAAUUAACUUAUUUUCAAAAUUAACAAAAAAAAUAUAUAUAUAAAUGUAGGUACAGUGUGAAAAAAGUUGUAUGAACUUAAGAAAUUUAUUUUUGAAAUGAAAAAUUGUUAUAAUUCUUAAAUUUAAACCAACGGUUUAUUGUUCACUGAAAGUAAAUUAAAAGCUUAUGAAUAGAUUUUCCAUGGAAGAUGUUUUGAAGAAUUGCGGUGGGCAGCACGCAUAAGAAAAGUAUAAAUUGUGUAGUUAUUAAUAAAUGUCUAAACCCUGUGGCAAUUUUUAUUUUUAAAUAAGAACAUUAUCAAAUUCUAAUGAAACAAAUCAUUUUAGUUUUAGUAAAUAGUUUAAUACCUUAACACCACGACACAUUUUUCUUUGCAUUUUUUCAAGACUAAGAAUUUAUCUAAUAAACACGUCUGUUGGAUCACGUUUUCUUUUUAAAUUUUAUUUUUCUAAACUUUAGAAAAUUAGUUCUAUUUAUGUUAUAUAUAUAAGAUAAAGUGGUAAUUUGAAUGUAUUUUAAAAAUUAUACAUUUUUUUAUUAUUUUAAAUAAAAUUCUGUUGAAAAAUACCAUAUAGCUUAGCAGUCAAUUCUAUUAAAAUUUGAAGGCAUAAUAGACCUUUUUUUAAUUAAUUUUUUGUCAUAAGCUAUAGAAUAAAACUAUUUUUCUUUGGGAAACCAAGCACAAAUUUUCUAGAAAUGAUGUGUUUUUACUUCAAUUGGUUUAGAUAAUUUAUUUAUUGAUUAAAAAUAUUUUUGUUUUAGCUCUCUUUUUUUGAAAGGUAAUGAAAAGUAUUAAUUUGUUUAAAUGAUAAUAAUUUUGUUACAAUUUAUUAAAAAUUACUAAAUUUAUUUACAUUUUUUUAUGUAAAAUUAAAUCUAUUAAAAGGAAUUAUUAAUUGUAUAUAAGUUAGUAAUCAUGUUAGAAAAGAAAUGCUUACUAAAACUGACAUAUUGAUUCAACUUAUCACGAAACUAGCCAAUCGUUUGAUGACUCAACUAGACGAAUUGAUAUUAAUUAACAUAAUAAUUAAAAACAAUACCAAAAAUAUAUACAACUAAAUGCAUGAUUAAGAUUUUUAUUAUUUUGGUAUCUUUAUAUAUAUAUAUAUAUAUAUAUAUAUAUAUAUAUAUAUAUAUAUAUAUAUAGAUAAUCUGUGUACACUGUUAUUUGCACGUAAAUUAAUAGUUUAUAAGCUUGUAAUAGGUUUGUUGAAUUGGAUAGUGAUGAGUUGGAUGUCUUUGUGAAAACCCUAUAUAGAUUCACGUCUAAAUUUUUGAUGAAUGGGGAUGUUUUGUUGCAUGUCUUAUAGUACGUACUUGACUGCUGCUAUACAUGAUUAUUUGUUCAUUGAACUUUUUAGGUUACUUGUCUACUUAGUGUUGGCACAAAUUAAGAGAAUAAUCUGUACUUCACAACGGUGGUGGCUGCAACCCUAGUAAGCUUCUUUUUUUUUCUUCAUAGAGCUAAUACGAUCUUUAGCCAAUGUAACAACUAUCAUGUUUUUUAAACCUAUUUUCGAAUUAGAUCGAGCCACCUUCUAAUAACCCUAGCUAAUUCUGACACACAAGCUGUAAACCUAACGUGUUUCUUUUAGUGACUAUAGUUCUUUCCUAAAUUAUGAUCCAUGACCCCACAUAUGCAUAUGCAAUCAAAACAAAUUAAAUUCAGUUGAAUUAAUAUUAGAAUAAAUACAUAUUCAUGCUCAUUAAUUGAUUUUAGUUAAACUUGUUAAGAAAAAUGUUAACUUUCUUUAGUUUCUCUGCUUGAAUCUUUACUGUUGAAAACUUACAUUUAUAUUUUUUGUUUCAAAAAAUAAUAAAAUCUAAUAUUUGAUCAAGUAUCAUCCCAUAGUUCUUUAUAGCCUAACUGUGACCAUUGUUGCAAAUAAUCAUUAAUUUUCAAUGACAAAUUUAACAUAUUUUUUAUUUAUCUAUGUAAAAUAAAAUAUUCUACAUAUAUAUAAACACAGUAAUUCACAACGUAAUUAAAACUAAAAACUAAAAAAUUAUAUAUAUAUAUAUAUAUAUAUAUAUAUAUAUAUAAUAUGUAUGUAUGUAUAUAAUUAAUAAUUAAAAUUUAAAUAAAUAAUUAUUGUGCCUAAGAUAAUUAUAGUAAAAUUAUAACAUAAAAUUUUCUCUAACAUUAUUAUAUAUCUAAAUUCUUUGAAUAAUAAAUUAGUGGAAAGAAGUUUUACUAUUUCAAGUUAAGUUGUUUAACCACCUGAGAAUAACAAGUUAAGUAAAUCAUAUCUUACCAAUUCUCAUUUAUUGGCAGUAUAAUUAUUGCACGUCUCUUGUUGUGUUGUUGCUCUUUUAAAUGAUUUUGUUAAAUCAAAACUGUAACUGUAAAGGAAAAACAUUCAAAUUAGACAUUAAAAAAUUUAUGUAAAGCAAUCCAAGACUUAGUAAGCAUGAAAUAUUAGUAUUUGUGCUUUAUUUACUUUUGGUAGUUAUUUAGGAAGUUGAUGAUCAAAAUAAUUAAAGUUUAUGUAUUUUGGUUCCUUUCUUCUUGUCACACCAUGACCUACACUUCUCUCAAAAGAAACAACAUGAUCAUUCUCUGUUGUUUAUCAAUGACCACAAUUUCACUCAUCAUCCUAUUCUCCAUCACCGUUUUGAUUUACUCGACGUUGAAAUUCCUCAUUAGGUUAUGUUGAUCAUCCAUCUCAACAUUGCUUGGUGUUACUCACGAAGAAAGUGAGUACCUAAGUGGAGGUUAGAGUUUGUGUUCUUCAUAUCAGAGUACAUGUCCUUGCCAGGUGUAGCUUAUGCCAACAAAAGUUCUCCAUGGAAAUAUCUUUACAUGGAGCUUCUGAUCCUGAUAUUUCUUACUCGUUCAUUGCUUACCUUUUUGUCACUAAGUCUCCAAGGUGGCUUCUCAUGCAAGGUUGAUCCAAAUAAAAAAAAAAUGGUUUCAUUUUCUCAACUCUACUCAUCGAUAACAAUGUUUUUAAGAACAAGUUGGGCUAUAAAACGGAUGGUGGAAGUUAUGAAACUAGGUCUUGACAUUGGAAUGAUGUAUUUUGGGAUGCACUACAAAAAAAAACUAACACCAUAAAAUAUGUUUGCUAUAGUUUGAAAAUAAAUGUUUUGAGAUAGGAAUUAACCGAGGCUUUUCAAAAGAGUAUGUUAAUGCAAGAAUAUAUAUAUAUAUAUAUAUAUAUAUAUAUAUAUAUAUAUAUAUAUAUAUAUAUAUGAUAUUGAGUCAUUCAAUCAUUAUUUAUUAAGAAUGUACUCAGAUUCAUUAACUAGAAAAAAUAAUCAUGUACAAAACUUUGGUUAGAUCUGAAAUCACAACAUAUGUUUCUCUAAUCAUUUUGAAAAGUUUAUCAACAUCUUUGUACACCUCCUGUGAGAUUUUCUUCCAAACUUGGUCAUUGUCUCUAACUUCACUUUUUGUCAAUAAAUAACCAGUCUAGAUUUAAACUCAAAAUAGAUAAAAUAAAUUACAAACGUUUUAAAAGCUAAAAAAGUGGUCAACUCUUUUUUACUCAAAAGCAUAUGAAAUGAAAACUGUUAUACAAAGACAACUAUAUAAUUGUUUUCAUUUGCUUUUGAAUAAAAAAGAGUUAACCAUCCUUUUAGCUUUUAAAACUUUUGUACUUAAAAUUUAUUUUAUUUAUUUUGAGUUUGAAUCUGUACUGGUUAUUUGUUGGCAAGAAGUGAAGUUGGAGACAAUACUCAAGUUUGGAAGGAAAUCUCACAAGAGGUGUACAAGGAUGCUGAUAAGCUUUUCAAAUUAAUUGGAGAAGUAUAUGUUGUGCUUUCAGACCUAGUCAAAGUUUUGUGUAUGAUUAUUUUUUCUAGUGAAUAAAUCUAAAUGCAUUCUUAACAAAUAAUGAUUGAAUAACUUAUUGUAUUAUAUUCUUGGAUUAACACACUCUUAUGAAAAGCCUAAGUUAAUUCAUGUCUUAAAACAUUUAUUUUCAAGUUGGAGCAAACUUAUGGUGUUAGCUUUUGUUGCCGUGCAUUCCAAAAUACACCAUUCCAAUGUGAAAUUAAACUUGGAGCAAACAUGUUUCUUUUUCAUUUUACAUAAAUUUUCUAAGGUCUAAUUUGAAUGUUUUGUUUUACAGUUACAGUUUUGAUUUAACAAAAUCAUUUAAAACAACAAUAACACAACAAGACACGUACAAUCAUUAUACUACUAACAAAUAGGGUUCGUUAAGAGUUGAUUUACUUGACUUGUUAUAGUUAAAUGGUUAUAGGGCAACUUAAAAUGAAAUAAGUAGACUUUUUUCCACAAAUUUAUUAUUGAAAGAAUUUGGGUAUAUAAUAUUAGAGAAAUUUUUUAUUAAUUUUAUUAUAAUUAUCUUAGACACAUAAGUUACUUGUUUGAAUUUUAAUUAUUAGUGAUUGCUAAAGUUAUAUAUAUGUUAAAUCCAAAUAUUAAUGAUUAUUUGCAACAACGAUCACAGUUAGACAAUAGAAAGGAUUAAAGAAGGACACUUGAUCAAAUAUAAUACCAUCAUUAUUUUUUGAAACAAAAAAUAUAAUUGUGACUUUUGAAUAGUAAAGAUUCAAGUUGAGAAAUAAAAAGAAAUUAGAGAAAGUUAACAUAUUUUCAUACAAGUUUAACUAAGAUCAAUUAAUUAGAAUAAAUAUGUAUUUACUCUAAUAUUAAUUUAACUGGACUUAAUUUUUAUUGAUUUGCAGAUGUAUUUGUGAAAAAACAUUUACAGUGAAAGGUGACUGAAGAACUCAUGAGAAGAACUAUGACAAUAUGUGAUACUGCACUUGUGGCUCAGACUUCAAACACAAACGAUCUAAUUAACAUUUUACAAUUAUCUUCGUUUACUAAACAUAAGAGUGUCAGUAUUGUGAGAUGGAUGCACUUAUGGUUUUAAAACCUUGAGUAAUGGUAAUUUUAGGAGGAAGAGUUUAGUUAGUUGAACUUUUAUAUUAUUACGAUGACAUUGAGAAUAAAAUGUUUUAAUAAUAUAUAUUUGAACAUUUUGAUAAAAGAAAUUUCUCAUGUUUUUUUUCUCAAUUAGAAUAUUUGAAUCUUGUUAUAAAUAAACAUUAUUAACAAAAGUAUUAGCACUUAAAAUAGUGAUAAAUUAAAUAAUAAUGAAAUAGAUUAAAAUAUUUACAUUAUAAUUGUCAAAUUAAAAAAGAUAUUAAUCCAAAAAAUAUAAAAAACAAAGUAAUAUUUAUAUUAAAAUAAUAAAAAAUAAAAGAGUUUUCAAAUCUCCACAAAAUAUUAGUCAUAAAACUCUCUAAAAAAACCUCCACAGUAUAUAUAUAUAUAUAUAUAUAUAUAUAUAUAUAUAUAUAUAUAUAUAUAUAUAUAUAUAUAUAUANUAUAUAUAUAUAUAUAUAUAUAUAUAUAUAUAUAUAUAUAUAUAUAUAUAUAUAUAUAUAUAAUAUGAGGAGUCACAGAAAAUCUUCCCAAAUCGGCAUUGACGACUCUAAAUGUGGAAGUUUGAAAACCCAAGCAAAUUUAUUUGUAAAGAGUAAAAACUUCCACAAAUUAAAAAAAAAAAAACAUCAACUAAACAAUAGUUUUUUAGUUAGUAGUGAAAUGGUUUUAAGGGAAAAACCACCGUAGAAUUUAGAUGGGAGAUAAUAAAAAAUAGAGCAUAAAGAAAUAUAGAGGAUGAAUGGAUACGGAAUGCGGAUAAGAUGCAAAGAUACGCAACAAAAUAUAAAAAAGUAAUGAAUAGUUGUAGAGGAGAAAAGACUGAAAUUUAUUAUACAAUUAGGUUAUUUUUAUUAGAACUGUACAAACAAUGUUAAAAAUAAUAUAUUGAGUUAAUUGAUGGUUUUUAUGAAUUUUUUAGAUUUGUGACAUUUCAAAGUUGUGAUAUGUGAUAUUGUUAGUGUGACUUGACAGACAGAGUUUCAAUUUAGUUCUUAGUUUUUUUUUUUAUUUAUUUAAUUUAGUCUUAAAUUUGGUUAAAAUGGAUUUUUAUCCUUCAAUUGAAACAAAAUUUACUUUUUUUACAAAUUUAUAUUAAAAUUUAUAUUUUUAUUAAAUAUUUUUGGAAUUAUAUUUAAACUAAUCCUAAUAUUUUUAUAGAUAUUUUUAUUGAUUAAAAUAAUUUUUUAUUUAUCUAAACUUUUUAAAUUAAUAUAUAUGUAAAUUUUUAUGUAUAUUAAUAAAUUUAAUAGCUUUUAUAUACUUGAUCUAUUUUGAUUAAAAUUGGGAUGAAAUGAUUAAUUUCACUUUAACAAAGAUUUGUUUAAAUGUAAUUUAUUUAAAUGGAAUCUACUUGUAUAGUUAAAGUUAGUUUAAAAAUAGGAUCAUAAAACUUAUAAGAAAAUAAAUUUUGUCACAUAUUCUUUUGUUUUAAGAAAAAUUAAGACUAAGUCCUAGAAAAAAAAUUCCAACGAAAUAUAAAAAUAGUAAAAAAAUUCAAAAUACAACAAAUUGACAUGUUAUACUAUUUUUAACGUUGUUAUACUGUAAUAAUAAAAAUAACCUAAUUACAUCAAUUUUUCAUAAAUUAAAACUAAAAAAUACUAUAGGCCUAGCUUGAUAUAUUUUUACGAAAACUAGGACAAAAAGUUAACAAUAAUGAAAAUACACUGAUAAUAAGAAUAUUUUGUUGAUAAAAAAAAUCAGCAUAAAAUCAACUAUAAAAAAUUUGUCUAUAAAUUUUACUGGCAAAUAGUUGAAAUUCUUUGGUAAUUAUCAACGUGAUAAUUUUUAAUGACCAUAAAUAUGUGAGAAAUUUUUUGUCGAUUAAUAUAUUCAAUAUUCAUAGUCAAAUCAAACCUGAAAUAAUAUUUUUAAUUCAUUGACAAAAAUUUUCAAGCAUACUACAUAAGAACCGCUGUUAUGAACAUAAAAUAAAAUUGGAAAAAGCCGUCAAAAGAAAGUGUAACUUCAGUUUAAGAUUAAAAUAGCUAAAUGGAACAAUUGAAAAAAAUAGACAUUGUAUCUAAUUUAGUAACUAAAUCAAAAUGUGUUAAUCAGAAAUCUUAAACUAUGACACUUCCAACCCACGGUAUAAUUAUAUCAAUUUGUAUAAUUUAGUUUUAAAUAAGAAAAAAAUUAUAUAAUUUUAUAUAAUUAAUGUAAUCUUAAUAUUAAUAUUAAAAAAUCAUUGAUUUGUUUCAAAAUAUUUAAUAAAAAAGACAAAAUUAUAUCAAAAUUUCAUAAAUUACGACCAAAUUAUAUUAAUUUUUUACACAUCAAUACCAAAUUCUAUCAAUUUUCACAAAUCAAUAUACAAAAAAGCAUCAAAAUAAUGAAAUCGAAUUUUACAACGUACAAAAAAUCUGCAUCGCCUUAGUUUUUUUAAUCUUAAUUUGAAAUUCGUGAAAAUUUAUAUAAUUUAGUUUUAGAUAGGAAAACAAAAUUUCUUUUAAUUUCUUGAAAUAGAUUAAGAGUUUUUCAUCUAAAUUAAAGUUGUCAAUACAAGUAGUUUAUUUUGUUGGUGUAAUUAAUGUAAUCUUAGUAUCAAUAUUAAAAAAUCAUUGAUCCGUUUCAAAAAAUUUAAUGAAAAAGACAAAAUUACAUCAAUUUUUCAUAAAUCAAAAUCAAAUUACAUUAAUUUUUACCUAUUAAAACCAAAUUCUUUUAAUUUUCAUCAGUAUAAAUUAAGACUUAAAAAAACUGGAGGACCAACUUAGUAUUUUUUAACGAAAAUAUAGAUUAAACUUUAAAAUUAUUAUAAAAAUUGUGUUUUAAGUAUCAUUAAAUUCUCCUUUGAUAGUUAUACAUGUUAUUUGAUUAAAUAUAAUGAUGAAAGUUGGAAUAGAAAAGUUUAAUGUGGGUAAUGAUAUUCUUGACAACUUAUUUUUAUAACAUUUUAAUACCAUCUACGUAUCAUUUUGUGAUUGGUUUAUGAUGGUGUUUAUGAUUAUUAUUAUUAAUUGUAGAGUAAUUUUGAACUAAUAAAAAAUAACAGGUAAAUAAUAUUAAAAUGUUAUUAAAUAUGAUUAUUUUUUUUUAAAUGUACUUUAUUUAGGCACGGUAAGCAUGCAAAGUUCAUUUUAAGUUGAUUAGGCUUAGGUAAGCACAUAAUUUAAUGAAUUAACUCAGAAAAUUAUGUAAUUUACUUACAUGUAGUAUAUUUCCUCCCUUUGCCUUUUAAGUUAACUAUUUAUUACAUUACAGUCCUUAGUUCUGAAAGAGUGAGGGAUUAAGAUGUUGUAAAAUUUCUACCUACUAUUGAUGGGAUAACUCAUAAUCAUAUAGAGCUUGACAUUUUUUAUUGCUUAAUGCACUUUUCUUCUACUGCUAAUUAAUAUAUAAUCUUAAAAAAAUGUAUGAAUGCCUCCUUACAAUAAAUAGUUCAAUAAUAUUUAUUUAAAAAACUUGUUAUUUUUCAGAGAAAUGAAAAAUGGAAUCUUAGUGAAAUGAUGGAUCGUGAAAUAAAAAGGAGAAAUUAGACAGUCAAGGUUUGUCACCUACCAGUUUUUAUCAGAUGAAAACGAUGAAGAGGGUUUUGUCCCCAAAUAGAUUCUAAUCAGUCUAUCUUUACGCAAGGAAUCAUUACAAUGCUAGAAUGAUUUUACAUCACUCACUAGAAUUAUUUCUUUUAGAAAAAAAAAACGGAAAAUCAUUUAUGUACUUUCUAAACUUCAAUUCCUUCGUGUCUAGUACAAUUUCAUCAUCAAAUUUAUAAAAUAAUAGACGUAAUUUUCUUAAUAUAAGAGUGAUUUAAUAUUUUUUAUUUUAACAUUUAUUUAAAUUAAUGUAAGUUUGGUCGACAUUAUAUAUGAUGAAUUAAAAAAAAAAAAAGUUUAUUCCAUAUUUCUUUCACUGUAAUACUUGUGUCUAAUAUUUUAGAAUUAUGUUAGAAAGAUAUAAAAAAAUUAUUGAACAAAUUCUUUAAAUGAUACAUUAAUACUCAUUUAUAUAAUUAUAUAAUAUAAAGAAAACAUAUUAGGUUUUCGACACUACCACUUUUUAAUUAAGGUGAACUUGAGUUAAUUUUUGAGUUAUACAUAGACGAAAACAGAUGAACUUAGUUGAAUAAUAACUAAAAUCCUUGAGAAUACGUUAUAAUUGGGUUGUUGAAGAACGAAAGAAAGUCCAAAUUGCAGAAUAUUCUCUCUUACACAUUCGAAUGAGAGUAAAAGAAGUUAUAAUAACAAUGAUAUAAGAUAAUUAAGUGAAUAGUUCAUUUUUAUAUUGAUAAAUAUUUAUAGGUUUUCGAACCAUAUGUAAGAAAACAUAUUGACUACCUACUUUUUAUUUUAAAUCCAUUAUUUAAUCAUUAUAUCAUCAAGAAACGGAAAUCUCUGUUCAAUUUCAAUUUUAGUAUGCAUCUCAAAUUUAAAUAUAACACAGGCAAAUUGAUAAAAUAAUUAACAAUAUUGCAUUAUAUUUUUUUAAUUUUCAUCUAUUCAAAUUGUUUUUUUAUCCCUGUAAAAAUAAAUACGUGGUUUCGUUCCUCCAAAAUUAGAAAUAAUUAUUAUUGUCCUUAAACUUUAUAUUAGAAAAGUAAUUUAUUUCAUUCAUUCCAUAAUAAUUUUUUAUAUAUUUUUUUUUUGUUUUUUUCUAAAGCAAUAUAGUCCAUUUUGUUUUUUUUUAAGUUUUUUUAUUUUUACAAUUGAAAGUAAUUUAUGCAUAAUCAGUUAUAUUGAAAAUAUAUACACAAGAAGUUGAAAAGUUAAGGAUAAAUGUGACUAAAAUUAUACCCAUUAAAUAUUUCUUCAUCUGAGUAUCGUGCCUUAAAAUAUUAUUGCUCUUAAAUGUUUAGUAAAUAUCAUUAAAAAUGAUGACUUGAUUUAUUUUUAGACACAUAUGCUCUUGAUAGUUUAACAAUUGGGACGCAAAGAUACAGAAAUGAAAACUAAAAAAACAUAUUUAUAGGAAUUAAAAAGCUAAAGGUAACUCUUCCAAUAAAUAUGUUAUUAACAUGUAUAUUAAAUAUUAUGCUUUUAAAAUAUUAAAAUUAUUUUCAUUUAAAUAAAAUAUUAAAUGCUUUUUUAUAGGAAAAUAUAAAAUAUAUAUAUUUUAAAUUGUUGUUACAAUUAUUACUACAAACACUCUUCAAAUUAUUGAGGAAAUAUUAUCAACAAAAAUAAAAAUAAAUCGUCAGUAAAAAAUUCUUCACAGCUACCACAAACCGCUACAAUAGAUUUCUUUGAUCCCUUUAUUUGGGUGUUAUUCUCUCCACCUUUCCAACUUUUUUGCCUUUCCAAUAUUUUUAUUUAUUUCAAAAAUAUUUUAUAUUUUAUCACUGUUUUUCUUUUAUUUCAAAUUACACUUCUUUAUUAUCUUUAACAAUCUUUUUUUUUUCUCUCUCCAUUAAUAGAGAGGAUUUACAUGACUCAUUAAUGUAACAUUUACAUAAUUUAAGUUUAAAUUUCUGAUAUAUUUCCUUAAGUUUGAUUCAAGGGUUAAAUAUGUUUUUAGUCCUGUACUUUGGGACGAUUUUGGUUUUAGUCCCUCUUUCAGACUAAGGUACAAUUUAGUCCUUCAACUUUAGAAAACUCUGGUAUUAGUCAUUUUUGUCAAUUUUUUUUUAACUUUAUUGGUUGUUUCAAACGCGUUUCUCAGUUAACAUUGAAACAAAAAUGUGCCAAACAAUGUACACAAUCCAAAUGCUAUAAUGAAACGUGUUUGAAACGCAAAUAAAAUUAAAAAAAUUGAUAAAAAUGAGUUUUCUAAAGUUGAAAGACUAAAUUGUACCUUAGUUUGAAAAAGGGACUAAAACCAAAAUCGCCCCAAAGUAUAGGGACUAAAAACAUAUUUAACCAAUUGAUUCAAUCUUAUUUUUGUUAUUCAAUAUUUUUUUUUUCAAAUUACUUAAUAAAUGGUAAAAUUUUAUUCUAAAUUUUUAGAAAAAUGUUUAUAUAUGUGUGAUUAUUUACAUUUAAUAUCUAUAAUUUUUAACAUUAUAUUAUGUUUUAACUUACAAACAUCGACUCAAAUAACUUGAAUAAAGUAUUUAAUUUAUUAGAUAAAUAAUAUAAAAAUAUUAUUUAAUACUUAAAAUAUAAAAGAAAAGUUAUUUAUUAAAGAUUUGAAAUUUAUUUAGUUUUUUUGUCAAUAUAAAGUUAGUAUAUAAUAAUAAUAAUGUAUUAUUAUUUAUUAUUAAUAUAAAAUAGUAGUAAUAGAAGCACUAAUAUUGUGAAUUUUAUAUUUUACAGUAUAUCACAAAUUUAAAUAUGAAUAAUGUGAACGUAAUGUACAGAGAAAAAAAAAAUGAUUGAGGAUAAUAAGUUGUAAGAUAUUUUUAGAAUAAAAAAAAUUAGAAAAUAUAAAAUAUUUUUAAAAUAAAUAAAAUAGUGAAAAAAUGGAGGAGCAAUUGGGAAUGUAUCGGGGGAGGUGGAGGGACACCCCUUUCUUUACAACCACCAUAGACCAUAGUAAGGAGUUUCGAUUUCCUUCUUCACAACCACCGCAAACCACUGCAAGGGGUUUCAGUAUUCUUCUAAAUUUUUAAGUAACUACUAUACUAGUAUUUUAUUAUGUGUAGAUAAAUACUAGCUAGUUUAUCAUUGAAUGCCAGUAAAAGUAUUAUUUGAAGACGGUGAAUAUUAUGAGUAUUGAGGAUUUGAUUCCGUAGUUUGGAGAUGUUAAAUUAGCACCAAACGUUUCCCUUAUCCUCUGUGUCUGUCUGAAAUUGAAAAGUUGUGUCGGUGUUGUCGUUGUCUGAGAAAGAGGAAGAAAUGGGGAGUGGAGUGAACAGAAAACUUUCUGCAGCAUCAACCCGUGCUCAUUCCUCGAACCAAAACAAAACCACUUCAGUUCACUUCCCUUCAGGUCCCACUUUUCUUUUUCAUCUUGUUGAAUAAAAUGAGCAUCAUCAUGUGCAUUCUUCGACUCAACUGCAUUUGGCAUAUUCUUCUGCCAUCCAUCCCCUUCUUCUUUCUCAUUUAUUAUCAUAUCAUAUUCAUUUGAUGGGACUUUCUCACUUUUUUUAUCGUCCUCUCAGUCCUUUGCUACCGUCACAGUACUGAAUUCAUAUUCUUAUCCUUAUUUUCAAAGAUUUUUUUUUUAAAAAAAAAGCAAUUUUGCAUUAUCCCAGGAAUUUUGAGAACAGUGUUCGCUGUACUGUUCAUCGUGCUCGUAGCAUGGGGUUAUCAGGCAAUUCAACCUCCUCCAUCAAAGUUGUGUGGUUCUCCUAGUGGCCCCCCUAUAACAGCACCCAGAAUCAAGCUAAGAGAUGGACGGAAUUUAGCAUACAAAGAGCAUGGUGUUCCAAAAGAUGUAGCCAAUCACAAAAUCAUCUUUGUUCAUGGUUUUGAUGCUUGCAGGCAUGAUGCCUAUGUUGCAAAAACCUUAUCACCUGUAAUUAUUUGUUUUUUUUUUUGUUUGUUUGUUUGGUUUCAUUAAAUUCUAUGCUAUGUUUGUCGAUGUAUUAUCUGAAUUUGUGAUGGGUAUAUUCAGGAUGUUGCUGAGGAUUUAGGGGUCUACAUUGUAUCUUUUGACAGACCAGGGUAUGGAGAGAGUGAUCCUCAUCCAAGCCAAACAGUGAAGAGCUUGGCAUUAGAUAUAGAAGAACUUGCUGAUAAAUUGGGACUAGGAUCCAAAUUCUACAUAAUAGGUUUCUCUCUUGGGGGUCAGGUUGUUUGGAGGUGCCUUAAGUACAUCCCUCACAGGUAUGAUGCUUUCAGGUUUGAGGUAACUCUGUUGGCCUCAAACAGAACAUUCUUUGGUUGUUUUUUCUUUUCUUGGCAUGUAAAUGUUUAUGUCCCUUUGGUUGAACUUGCAUUUUAGUUCUUUCAGUGAUACAAGAUCUUUGUUCCUCUGCACUUAUUAUGCAGAAUCUGUUGGUCCAGGCGGUCCAAACAAACUUUGAAUGAAUAUUAAUGUUAAUUUCACAAGUGUAAAAUGCUCAGGUUUGGGAAAUUGGUGGGGUGAUUAUGCUUGUCUAUGACAUCAAAAUGAGUGGGGUAAUUGUGCUUGUCAUACCAAAUUACGCAAUACUUAAGACUCUCAUUUCUGUGUAAGUGUGCAGUACUUAAAAAAUUGUCUGCAGAAACUAGACGGGAACAUCAAAUUUCUUGAAAUAAGUUAUAUGAAUCUACGAGCCACUUUCUUCAUCUGUAUUCUUUGUCACAGUGAAACAAAAUUGCAAUGGUGACAGGUUGGCAGGUGCGGUGCUGAUAGCCCCAGUGUUGAACUACUGGUGGACUGGUCUUCCUAGAAACUUAACAAAUGAAGUCUUUUACCGACAAAAACUACAAGACCAGUGGACACUUGGUGUUGCUCACUAUAUACCUUGGCUAACUUACUGGUGGAACACUCAAACAUGGUUUCCAUCUUCUUCUUUAAUUGCUGACAGUUUAGAUCUUCUUUCCCUUCAAGACAAAGAACUUUUGCCUAAGAGGAAAGAUCGAAAGAAUCAUGUGGUAUCUUGCUUAUGCACUGAAACUCAUUCAUUCCAAUAGAUUUUGAUGUUUUUGGAUGAACAUUAUGCGUAAAGUUAGAACUUGAUCAUCUUAAUAAUUUGCUUAUGUGGGUUGCACUUUCAGGGUGAGGUAAGACAGCAGGGAGAACAUGAAAGUGUACACAGAGAUCUAAUUGUUGCAUUUGGUAGCUGGGAAUUUAGUCCUUUGGAUCUGGAAAAUCCAUUUCCAAAUAAAGAGGGUUUGGUUCAUAUUUGGCAAGGAGAUCAAGAUUUGAUAGUGCCUGUUAAAGUGCAAAGAUACAUUGCACAAAAGCUUCCAUGGAUUCAAUAUCACGAGCUUCAAGGUGCUGGCCAUUUGUUCCCUCAUCUUGAUGGUAUCAGUGAUACCAUUGUUAAGUCACUUUUAAAUGCCCAGUAGUGUUGUUUGUUUGCAUAAUUUAUAAAAGAAAAUCAUAUUUUGAGAGCAAUUUUUGAUACUAUUUUGACACUACACACUUAUAAAAAAAACGUGGUUGGACAAUUUCAAAUUAAAAAAAGCUGAGAUAAGAGUACAUUUGAAAGAAAAAAAUGAAAGUAUUUUUAAAAUUUGAAAUCGUUCAAUUACAUUUUGACACGUGUACAAUGUCAAAAAAUUGGUGUAAAAAUAUCAUUUUCCAUUUAUAAAGGACCAAUGUAUCAUACCAUAUUUUUACAUUCAUUUAUUAAAAUUGAUAAUAAAAGAAUAAAGUUUUGUAUUUUAAAGAAAAAAAAUAAAAUAUAAAAAAUGAAUGUAGAAAAGUUAAGUAAAAAUAUUUUUAUAAAAUUUCAAUUCUAACCCAAAAUUGUUUUUGAGAGAAUGUAUUCAUUGUAUAACUUUUGCUGUGUCAUUCAACUACACCUAUGUGUUAACUUUUAUAUAACAAUUACUUCACUUAACUGCACCGUUUUUAGUUAUAAUAAUUUAGUUAUAAACUUUUUCUUUUUAUUUAUAUAAAAUAUAAAUCUUAAAAUAAAUUUUAAGUCCUAGAUACUCUAAUAUACACUCAAUCAUGUGGUGGUGUUGAUAAAUAUACAAUGUACAAAAUCUGAGUAGAUAACAAAAGAACUAUUAGAUUUUUUUUUUUUAAGAAUGAUAUAAUAUUAAAGAUGAAAUUUGACUCUUUGAUGCUUUUUUUCUUACGAAUUGGUGGAAUGAUUCCAUUGAUCAAAAGAUUAUUAUAGACUUGUUUAGUUAAAUUUAAAUUAUUCAACAAAUAAAUUUAGAAGAGAUUGUAGAAUUUAACUAAUAAGUAAUUAAAUACACCUUUAAGUCUGAUUUAAUUUUUAAAAUCAAGCUCAAAGUAUAGCUAUAUUAAGUUUCAACUUUUAUGAAAUAGGAAUAGAAAAUAAUUCAGUUAAGCUACUCUUUUCUGAGACUAAAAUAAAAGUGACAACAUGAAUCGAUACUUACCAAAAAUAUUUCCUCUGUUGAGACAGAGAAAUUAUACACACAAAUAUCAUUUUUUGUUUUUCAUUCAUAAUGUCACACAUUCAUAAUCAUAUAGAAAAAGAAUAAUAUUUUGGUAAGUUAGUUUUAUUAAUGUGUGAAUGUCAAACAUUUUAAUUAUGUUAUGCAUUUGAAGAUUUUGUGCAGCAAAUUGAUUUUUUUUAAUUUAAUGUUUUCCUUGAUUUUUUUUAGUGACAAAUAGGAGUAGGAAUUUAUUAAGCAAAAUUCAUGAAAAAUAUUCUUAAAAAGAUAUUUUUCUACAAAAUAAAUUCGUGAGAAAUUAUCUACUGAUACGUUAUCUUUCUCAAAAAAAAAAUAUUUAUCAAAAAUUACCCACAGAAAUGGAAAUUCUUGGAAAACUUUCCUCACGAGUAUAUUAAUUAAAAAAUUAUCGUGAAAAGUUCAUGGGAAAAAACAUUAUUACCCGCGAAUUUAGAGGGCUUCCACGAAUUUUGGUCAUAGAAAUUUUCAAUUCAAUUGAUUUGCAAUGUGGUUAUUGAGAAGAAAGAAUAUUUAGUACAUAAGUAUAUAAUAUAAGCAUGAAAAUAUGUAUGUAUUUAAUGUUUUAUAUUAUUAACUAAUAAACAGGUUCAAUAAUUGAAUUAGUAAAUAAUCUUUUAUUUAUAUAGUUGUUAUAAAUUUUUGUGUUUAUUUUAGUUACCUUAAAUUAAUUAAAUUGAAAGUUUGUUAACUUUAUAGUAAAUGUAUAAAAUCGUUUAAAUAGUAAUUGAAAGUUUAAGAAUAUUUUUUUAGGAAUUUGUGUGUUAUUAGUUGACUGUGUAUAUUUAUUUAUUUAUACUAUGAAUAUUAAUUGAUUCAAAUUAGUAAUAGAUGAAAUUAGAAAUAUGACAUAUAAAACUACUAAAUUAAAGUUACGUUACUCGAUCAAAGCAAAGGUUAAUUCGGGUUGAAUUUCAUGUAUUGAACUUAAUGUAAUCAUCCUAAAUAAUAUAGUUAAUGUUUAUUCGGGUUGGAUUUCAUGUAUUCAACUUAAUGCAAUGACCCUAAACAAUAUAAUUGUAGCAUGACUUAAGCAUUUAUAUUAUAAGUUUACAAGUUUUAAUUUUUUAGAAAUAAGUUCUAAAUUUUUAUAUGAAAAUACUAAUUUUUUAGUUAUUUUAACACAAGAUUUACAUUAUCAAUAACUAUUUAAAAUAAUUACUAGGUUAUAGUCUAUGUCUAAAAUCAAACAUUGGUUCGAUGCUUUUUUAAGUUCCAAAAACAUUUUUCAAUGUUUAGAUACACAAAAUAACAUAAUACACAUAAAGCAUAAAGAAAGAACACAAGGAACAUAAAAAAAAAAUGUAUAUUGCAUAAGAGAAAACUACAUAAAAUUAAGGUACAUUACAUUGAAUCUCAAUAAAUAGUAGAGUUAGUUACUCUUACAUAUUUGAAUACACGAAAGAUGAAAUGAAUGAAGGAAAAUGAUUUUCUUGAGCUAUGAAUGCACAUAUUCUCUAGUCUCUCAUUGCAUUCUCACACCCAAAACUCUUUCAUCUUGUCUAAUUUUCAAUAUCUCUAAAAGGCCAUCUUCUUACUAGAUAACUAUAACCUUUCCGAGGACGAGAAGGUGCUUUUUGUGUCAAAGUUAAUUGUUUUAUUUUUGGUUUAAAUCUUUUUUUGUCCCUAAGUUAUAAGCGGAUGUUCAGUUUAGUCCCCGUUUUUAAAAAUGUAAAUCUUUGGUCCCUAAGUUAUAAAAAAUGUAAAUCUUUGGUCCCUAAGUUAUAAAAAAUGUAUCAAAUGAGUCAUUUUUUGACUUGAAAUAGUGUUUUUGGUUGUUUCUUAACAACUACUACAUCUUUAGAUUGCUCUGAUUUGUUUCUUAAUAAUAAUAGCACUUUAGAUUGCUCUUUGUACUUUGACCAUGAACAUCAAAAAAGGACUCAUUAAAUACAUUUUUUAUAACUUAGGAAUCAAAGGUUUACAUUUUUAAAAGUGGGGACUAAACUGAACAUCCCUCAUAACUUAGGACCAAAAAAAGAUUUAAACCUUUAUUUUUUGAGGAAAAAUGAUUCUUUCACACAUGUAAACUUUUUACAUUUACUUAACACUAUCUUUCCUUACUUUUUACUCUAUUAUUUAUUAAAAAAAUACAAAAGUUUAUACUUUUAUGAUUAUUUUAUCCUUAUACUAUGUGUUAAAUGAAUGUAAAAGUAUGUAAUAAUGAUACCGUUAUUUUUUUAGCAAAUGACUUACUUGUUGAGGGAAUAAACUUCAUAAUUUUCCUCCAAUUUUCUUCGAUCUUCAACUUUUCCACAAAAAUAAUCCAAAAGGAAAAAUUAAUUACAUUUGUAUUAAAAAAAUGUUUAGAUCUUAAACUUUUCAUAAAAAAAAUACAAAAAUACAAAAAUAUAAUAUUGAUAAAAAAUAUAAAAAUAAUUUUAAUUUGCUCUUAUAAUAAUUAUUGCUGGAUUUAUUUGUUUGUAUUAUUCUAAACAAGGAGAGACAUACUGGUUGCAAGAACAUAUUAUUAAUGUUGCUAGAGUUUAAAUCAAAAAGGUUUCUUUUUAAAAGGUAUAUUAAAGUAGGUUAACUCUCUAACUAUACUCAAAAUAAGGGUUAUUUUUUUAUUUAUAUUAUUAUAAAACUGGAAAAGUCCUAUUUGACUACGAAUAUUAUUUAAGACAAUGUUAAAAUGAAAAUCAUCCAACCUACUAAACUAUCCACACAUUUUUUCUUUGCUCUUCAAAAAAAUUAUUCAGUUUUUAUUUUAAAUAUAAAUUAAGUAAUAAAUGACUAAGAUUUAUUAAACAAAUCUUGCAUUUCAACAGGCAACAAAAAAGAUUCAAAAGUCCUCAAACUAUAUGUAUGUUUUGGUUAAGAAAAAAACGUCUCUUAUAGCUAUACAUAUAUUGUUGCAUAUAAUUUUUAAUCCUAAAAAAAAGAAUGAAUUUUAAAGUUUUUCUCCUUCAUGAAUUAGUAAGCUGGGGAUAAAAUAUGGAACACAAAUAUGAGAAAGAAUAAUUAAUGUGAAAAUAGUAUUAUAAUAUUAUUAAAAGGUGAAUAAAUAAUAUUGCAAAACAAAAAAAUCGAAAAGAAUACGUGUUGAGCUGAAAAGGUUUGCUGUACUAACACAAGUCCAGACGUGCGACACCUGUCCUAUACGUGUCGAGUAAUGUAACCUAUUGGGAAAAAUAUUUGUAUCUAUUGCGGCAUUUGACAUUUAUCUUUUUCAUUAAUUUUGAAUCCCUUGUUUUGUGGGGUACCCCUGAGCUGGAGUUAACCAUAUAGACGAAGAUCUAUCCCUUAAGUUGCAGGGUAGUGUGCCUUUUAUGAAGCUAUUGCUACUUUCAGUCUUUCUUCUAAAUAAAUUUGAACACAAUCUCAAAGUUUUGGCACUCCUACAAAAGGAACUUCUUCAAUACUAAUAUCAGUCUCAAAUUGAAAUUUCAAUUUCCAGGUAUCUAUGUCCCUAUAUGCAAUUUUGCAAGAUUAUUUGUUUGUUUUCCAUCACAGCAAACGUUUUUUUUUUCUUGAUUCACCAUGGAUUGUUAUGGUUUAUGUUUUUUCAUCCUUUUUUCAGUAACCAUUCUCUGUGUAUUGAUUUUCUUACCACCAUUUUCACCAAAGGAGGAAAAUAUUCCAAACAUUGAAAGUAUCCUACUCAAUAACAUUAUAGGUGUUUUCAUCCAAAAAUUUAUAUUUAUUAUCAAGGAAAUAAAGAAUGAAUUUUUUUUUUCCUUUAGCGGUGAGCUCAAGUUAUUCUAAAAUGGAGCUUAGAAAAUUAAUUUGGAGAAAAAAAAAAUGCUUCUUUGAACCAAACCUAAAACAAUAUUGUUUUGAAGUUAUAUGAACUCUUGAGUAUGAAGUUUUCAUGACUACUGUAAGCUGUGUGUAGCUAAUAAAAGCAAUCUUAUGAUUGUUUGAUUUUUGUAGAGAGAUAUUGAUGGUGCAGAUAAAAUACUGUAUAUUUUUUAAGUGAAUUUAUGUGGAAUCAGAAUUGGUAUUUAUUUAUCUUGAUCAUCUAGUUUUGGAUAAUAUUAAAUAAUGGAAGUAUGUGAAAAGCAUCUGGUUCCACCAAAAAGUGAUAAAAAUUACCAUGGUCCCACUUGAAAUAAUUUACUUGUAUUAAUUCAACGUAUUAGUUCUAAGUACAAAUAUUAAAACUUAGUUAUGUUCUUCUCUUGUGAAUAUUAAUAUUAAUCCAUUGAAUUUUAGAAAAUUCUAAUUAAAUGUCUAAAUUUAUAUGAAUGAAUGGUAGUAUGGAUUUCUUUGAUAUAUAUGUAUAUAUCAAUUCAAAUUAUUUAAGAUUAUGGAGUAUUUAAAUUUUCAGAUCAGAUUAAUUAACUGUUAUAUAAAAUAUUGUAAACUUUGUAAUAAUAAUAAUAAUACUUUGUAAAAAGGUAUUCAAAUUCAUUUGCUAAUUUAAAAUAAUAAUACUUUAAUCACAUUUAUUAUAUUUAAAAUGGCAUAAUUUUUUUGAAUGAGUACAUCAUUGUUUAUUGUAUUAUAUUUUCUGAAUCUUACUUUAGAUUUUGUCUUGUAUGUUACUUUGUUAUCAUGUGGUCUCUUGAAAGAAGAAGGAAAGGAGAUGGUGGUUGAAGAGAGUGAGAUGAAUUCCCAACAAGAUGGCAACAAGAACCACCAUUCUCAGUUCCCACCAUCGUCCAUUGGAAGACAGACAUCCAUAUAUUCUCUUACACUCGACGAGUUCCAGCACAGUCUAUGCGAGACUGGCAAAAACUUCGGUUCCAUGAACAUGGACGAGUUUAUCAGUAGCGUCUGGAACGCUGAAGAGAAUCAAGCCAUAAUAACCUCUUCCAAUGUCCCUCUCUCCCAACCCUUCACUGACAAAGAUCCAACAACGCUAAGGAAACAACCAAGCCUACCUCGCCAACCCUCACUCUCUCUCCCUCCACCUCUAUCCAGGAAAACCGUCGAUGAAGUUUGGUCCCAGAUUCAGAAAGAACAACACGACAGCACUAACAACAACGAUGUUCUGAAUAAUACCGAGUCUGCCCCUCGCCAGCCCACUUUCGGUGAGAUGACUUUGGAGGACUUUUUGGUCAAGGCUGGGGUGGUUCGGGAACAACCAUCUGCACCACCACAGUUGUCUCAUCACUCUCACCACCUCCAACACCAGCAGCAGCCGCAGCCGCAGCCGCAGCAGCAGCAGCAUUACCCGAGUAACAACGGUGCAAUGCCGGGAAUGGGUUCUCCUUUUGUUGGUAGGAAUGUUAUUGGUGCAGUGAGUAACGUGGUUGCACCGGGUUACCAAGUGGGUGAGGCUUCUGGUGGGUAUGCUGUAAACGGUAAGAGGGACGGUGGUGCGGUGUUUCAUCAGCAAGGUGUUUCCUUUGGAGGAAGUGGGUAUGGGAUGGGUCCCACGAUGGGAAUGGGUGGGCCUGUGAGUCCUGCUAAUUCUUCUGACGGAAUAGGGAAUGAUUGUGGGCAGUUUGGGCUUGAGAUGGGUGGUUUGAGAGGUAGAAAGAGGAUAGGGGAUGGUCCUGUGGAAAAGGUGGUGGAGAGGAGGCAAAGGAGAAUGAUCAAGAAUAGAGAGUCAGCUGCCAGAUCUAGAGCCAGAAAACAGGUGCAUGUCUCUCGUUUUAUCAUUUCAAUGCAGUGUCUAUGCAUCAUCUCAGGUUGAUUUGUUAUAAUUCUGAUAUUGAAUUAAUGGCCGAAAGAAAUGUGAUGGAAAAGUAGGUUAUGCUAUUGUAGUAACCUGAAAUUGUCUUACUGCAUAAUGUCUGGUAGAAACAUGGAAAGGAAGUAGAUCAAGAAUACACUAGUUUAUUUUAGUAGAGACUCACUUUCAAUGACAUUAGAAUAUUAUGUUCUUUGAGAACUUGCUCAGAAUUCAGACUAAAAUGGCACUGAAAGUAGGAGUUUUUCUGGAAAUUUUUGGUGGAUAUUUGAGGAAGGAUAGUGUUAUAAGCUUCAUUUGCAGAAUCUUAUAGGGUUUUUUCCUUGGCAGGCAUACACUGUUGAAUUAGAAGCGGAACUAAACCAACUAAAAGAAGAGAACGCCCAACUGAGACAGGCGUUGGUACUGCCAAAUUACGUUAUAGCUUAUGCAGAAUGUUGAAAAUUUUCAUCCGUAGUUGAGGUAUUGGUAAUUCAAUUAUACUGAUAAGGAUCUUACUUGCAUAUUUCAGGCUGAGCUCGAGAGAAGAAGAAAGCAACAGGUAAUCACUUACUAAUGAUCUGAUUAACUUCUAGUUAGAAUUUAAUUACAUCAUGGGUACAAAAGCUUUGGUUUAGCAUGGUCCUUUCCUAUUCCAUGACCAUUAUGAGACAGUAAAUCAAUUGCUAAUACUGUCCAAUUUAAUAUGAUUUUUUAUUUCCCAUGACAAGGCUCGUAGAAAUCUGUGAUAUAUAGGAUCUGGGCUAAUGGAGACACCGCCCUUUAUGUGAAGCAAAUAGCUUAUAACCUCAUCUAAAUGUGCCUUUUUGUGAUCAUUUGCUGCAGAUUUUUGAAGAAUUAAGCAAUAUUAGCGUUCAAGCAAACGCUCAGAAAGUAAAAGAGAAAGAUAAACUGAGAGCUUUGAGAAGGUACAUGAGUUAUCCUUAGUGAAAAAACGGCAUGGUAACCAGUGAAGUUUUGUACGCACCAGAGUUUCUUGUGACUAGUAUGGCUAAAUGAAAAAGAAAGUCAACUGAAGUUAUAGCUGGUUGAAGAAACAGAGAAACUGAAGGGCGGGGAAGCUGCAAGAGUUCUCAAAUUAAGAUCAACGAAGAAUGGGAUCAUCCAAUUUGGAUGACUCUCCUUAUCAAAUUUCUCAGACGUACAAUAUAUAUAGUUUUUGUAAUAUUCAUGUCAUUUCAUCGUUGACUUGUGUGUGUACGUUCUCGUUUACGCCUAUCACACCAUCGCUUUUUAGUUUACUUUAUAUAUAUUUUCAGUAUAAAAGUAUAUCGACAAUCAAUCAAAAUUUAUUGUUCAUUAUGUUUUAUGAUAAUUAACUAUUAUAAAACUUAGCAUCUUAUCCUGCCAUUUAUGAUUGGAUAACUUUUGCUCUAUUGUCUUCUUUUUAUACCUUUAUUACUAUGAAGGGGUGAAAUUAUGCUUAAACGUGUUUUUAUACAAGUGGUAACAACUAAUUAUUAUAACCCAGUGGAUGUCCAAGGGGUGAAAUGCUUCGUUAGUUCACAAAAUGACAUUACUCAGUGUGUAAAUAUACUUAGUUUUAAUGUUUUGCACACAGGAAGAGAAGAAAUCUUCAUGCUUUAGACUAAUGAUUCAUUUUAAUUUUUUCAACAGAAGCUAAAGAUGCGCUGAUAACUAGUAACGACUACUAUGAAUAAUUUGCCAACUUCCAUUUUUAGGAAACAAGAACGUCGAGUACGAUUCAGAAGAAACAGCAAACAUUUACAAUGCAGUAAUGUUCAAGUGCAUAAAAAUAACCACAAAUAGGCUCCGUCUGUCUACUUCCACAAGCAAAAAAUGUAAUAAACAAUAGAAAGAAAGGGGUUGUGAUGGAAACCGAAAUUCACUCAUAUACACAGAAUCUAUAACUUUACAAUUGAAGAAUUCUUGUGAUUCAAGACAGAGAAAUGGACAAAAGAAACUCAUGGGGCAUGCUUCUAUCUUCUUUUAUUUGGAUGGGUUACAUGAGUGCAACCCAACCCACUACUCGUAUUCAAACUCAAAUUUUACAUGCCCAUAUUUUCUUCCUAGUUGAAGAAUGAAUUCAGAGAAUCUGGAAAGAAUUUGGCACUCUUCAUGUGUUUUUACCUCUGAAACAUGACCAUGCACAACCAGUUUUUUCAAAUUGGGACAUCCUUCCAAAAGUCCAGCCACCCAAACUGAGAAAAGAUCACUGAUUACAGUCCAUCCAAGUUCUAACACCACCACAUUCAUCAAACAAGACAAACCCUGCAAGCCAUAAUGAAGCACUCCAUCUCUUAAAUCAUAACUUAACGACAAAUGCGUCAAUAGAGGAAAGCAAACAGAAAUUGUCUCUAUAUCAACAACCUCAUCCUCAUCAUCAAAAACAACACCCCACAGCCGAAGCUUAUAUAACUUUGAGGCUUUUGAGAUCAUGUGAUAAAACUUUGGCCACAUGAUUGUGAAGUUACAAACAUCUAUAAUCUCAAGGUUCUCCGUACUAUCCACAAUAUCGAGAUGGAUGACAUUCACGUCAUCAAUUUUCAACGCUUUCAGUGUCCCCUUUCCAACCAGCUCAAAAAUCUCAAAGGUACAUUCUUUCAAAUGAAUUUUCUCGAGCAAAUCCACCUCCAAUAUAAACUUAUCCGAGCUAAACAAUUCAAGGUGGAAAUCCUUCAAAGAAAGACUGGUAAGCUCCAAAGAAGCCUGAGAAUCUGAUAUUGCAAUAUCUGGACUAACCAUAGCCAAUGUUUCAAGCUUUGGACAAGACGACAUCAGAAGGCUCAAAUCCAACGCCGAGAUGCUAACAAAACUCAACGAAAGCGACUUCAAGCAAGGAAACUUCAAAUAACCUGGCUCAACCCCAAUGAUGGAAUUGCGAGCCAAUGCCAGCACCUCCAGCCUGUGCCUGCUGCAUUUCUCGAUGAUGUUGAAACUAGGGGUAGUCCUUACAUUGUAAUGCAAUUGGCGCAAGGAAUCCCUAGUAUACAUAAGCCAAGCAAUGACGGGGGCGGCAGAGAACUCACGCUCAUCAUCCAUGAAAAUGGUCAAAAACUGCAGUGCCUUGGUUUGAAAAAUGGUCUGAGUGAUGAGUAUUUCCAACCUGGCAGAGGAAUAGUCAUUAUAGGGAGGCCAAUCACUAAAAUUGAAAGAAAGACUGUGGAGAUGACUGCGCCAUGCUUCUUUCCAUUUCUUGCAAGUUGCAGAAGCAACCACUACAUCCCGAGCAGAGCCGAGAAGAGACAAUAUGUUACCGAUCACUUCCACAGGAAUGUGGUCCAUAGUAGCAGGAUUAAAUAAAUUAUCAGAAUUAACAAUUACUGAACCACACCCUCAAUUUCAAAAGAAUUCAAUCCAAUAAAUCAGAACCUGUGCAGUAUACGAAAGUUCAACAAAUUAAAUUCAACUAAACAAUAACAACAAUAAUAAAAAUAAUUUCUCGAUAAACAAAAAUCAGAGACAAAGGGGAUCCUAUACAGUGAGUGAUGGGAGUUAUUAAGAUCAGAAAAUGGAGUUAGGAAGUUUGCAUUGAAUUAAAUGGGCAAAUAGGAAAAAGUUAAAGAUAAAGGAUUAAACGAACCCCGAAGAGACUCACUUGGAGAACGAAACGAUCGUGUUCUUAGCGCAGAGAAUUUGGAAAUCCAAGAAUCAUAACAUUCAAAUUUCGCUGAAAUAAGAGAGAGAGAGAGAGAGACAGAGAGGACCUACUUCUCUCACUAGACGAAGGAAAGGAAAAUCUUUAUGUUACGGCGAGGCAAAACGGGAGUGAGUCUUCAAAAUCGUGUGCAGGGUCCUUCGCACGUGUUAGCAACUAACCCUUCGUACGUGUUAAAAACUUUUUUUUCCUUCCCAGAUACGAGCUAUCAAAAUGGAUAAUCUGAUUCUAUGGUCACUUACACUGUGUUCACUUGAGGGUGAUUGGGAAGAGUAAUUGAGUGGAUUUGAGGGUAAUUUCUUUUGUUGUUUAUUUGAGUGAAUUUGGAGGUAAACGAGAGUGAACUUUGAAAUAAAGUUUGUGAGAAUUGGUGUAGGAUUUAGUUUUUAUGACAAAUUACAAAAAUUUAUUUCAAAAUUCAUUCUCGUUUAUCUCCAAAUUCACUCAAAUAAAUAACAAAAAAUAUUAUCUUCAAAUCCACUAAAUCACUCUCCCCCAAUCACCUCCUAUCACCCCCAAGUGAACACACCCUUAGUGAGUCAAUCCAAUCCGACUUAUUUAUUAGUGAGUUAGAAAAAUUUGAAUCUGGUUCGACCCAUCACGGAAUAGUGGGUAAACGAAUUGACUCACUAAUCCAUUUAAUUACAAUUUUUUUAAAUAAAAAAAUUUAUAAAUUUUCUAUAUUCAAAUUUAAACAAAUUUCACUCUCAGAAAAUGAUAUUAAAUUGAAGACAAUUCAAAAUAAUAGUAAAAAUUACAAUAUAAUACAAAUGUCAUCUAAAAACAAACACAAAAAACCUCCUUGAAGAAUUUCAAUAAAGGAAUGAGAGUGAUAACACCGUAUUCUGUGAGAGAGAUUUAUGAGAGGAGAGGUUUAUAGACAGUGAGUGUAGAGAGUAUUUUAUUUUUUAAAGUUUCAUAAAUAAAAUAAUAAAUUAAAAAAAAAUUAGGUAGGUAGAUUGACGGGCCAACCCGGCCCACCACGGGUUCAACCCGGUCCACCACGGGUUCAACCCGCAUGAGUCGGGUUUAAAUGAGCCGAGUUGAAAUCUGACCCACAUAAAAAAAAUUAAUUUUUUCAAACCCAACCCAACCUGAACCCGUGGUGAGCCGAGUUGACUCGCGGAUUGUGAUCCAUUUUAACAGUUCUACUUUCAAACAAUGAGUUUGUUUUAAUUUUAACUUAAUUAUGUAUUUUAAUUAAAAUUAAUUAAUAGUUGUUAGUAAUUAUUUUAUUGCACGUUCGCCCACUCUAGACAAAAGAACUCAUUAAGAAUUUCCCUUUUUUCUGCUUUUCUUUCAUGAUGACACCGACACUUCACGUGUAUCAUUCAUCAAUAAUGAGUAAGUGUUGAGUGAAGAGUAAGGAAUAGUGCAAAUGUGGAUUCAACUUUAUUUUAAUUGUUAAUUUAAUACAAUUAAGUUUGACGGGAUUAAGUUAACAAUUUUACUAAUUUAAUCUAUCUCAAUAAAUUAUAAUUGAGUUAAAAUGGGUAAGGCCAGUAAAUACAAUAAUUAAAAUCACAUAGUAAUAUUUUUUUAAAAUCUAAAAUAAUUUAAGUAUAUUUUUCAUCUUAAAAAUAUUAAUUAAAAUUAUAUUUUAUUCUCGUUUUAAAUUUCUAUCAUUUAAGAGAGAAAGAGAGUUGCAGUGAAGAGAGAAAGACACUUAAUUCAACAAAAAAAUUUGAUUAUAUAUAAUCAUGUGACCGUUUAAUUUGUCAUACCAAAAAAUUUUUAAUCCAAAACAUUUUACAUUCUUUUAUGAAGAUCAAGGACAAAUUUAGUACAUACUUUAAAAUAUGGACAAAAUACAAAUUUUUGAAAAAUAAAAUACAUUUAACUCAUUAAAAAUUAUUUUUAAUACUUAUAAAUUAUUGUUAAUAUUUAUACGAUACAGAUAAACAAUCAUUUUUAAAAUAGUAAGGUUAUAGUAGGUACAGAGAAAACAAUUAAAGAAAAAGAAAAUAGAUGAAAUAUGUAAAAAAAUAAAGUAAAAAUAAAAAUGGUUUGAUUUAAGACAAAUAAAAUGAGAUAUGUGGGUAUUGAAAGAGAAAAGUAUAAAGUAAACUUUUAUUAUAGAAAAUGUUAUACCAAAAAGGGCCAUUCUCUCCAUUUGAAUGAUAACAUGCAAAUAUGUUUUACAAUAUCAGAUAAAGUAUUUUUUUUUCAAGAUUUAAUAUAAAAAAUAGUCUGUGUUAUAUUAAAUGAUACAUAAUUUAAGUUUGGGACACCUUACAUCAACUAGAUUUAGAUAAAAUAGAUAUUGAAUAAAAGUUAAGUAUGUUUAUGAUUGGUUUAACACUUGAUAACAUAAUUCAUAGCUACCUCCGUUUUUCUUUGCUAAAUAAUCGUAUCUCAAUAAAUACAAUAAACUCAUGAUUCAUCUUUAAAUGUUUACAUAUUUUCUUUAAAUUAUUUUACUCUAACGACCAUUUUUAUUUGUCCAGCCAUAAAUGUGUUAAAAGAAAUUGUCAACACCCAGUAAAAAACAAGUAAGAAUCUUGUCCUACAAACAUUUAUGAUUAACAAUUUUCAAUUCACGAAGCAUCUCGUGCCAUUAUAGUCAGGUCACAUGUAAAAUACAAACAUAAUAAAAAUGUGAAAUACAAGAACUGAAUGCAGUUUCUUUCCCUAGGUCCCGGCUUGUGUAGCUUAAGGCCAUGCCAUUCAACCAGAAAUGAUAAUUCGUAAUAAUUCAAGUGAAAGCGUGAUAUCUAAGCUGACCAAAGAAUUCUAAGAAAAGUUUCUUCAGUUCUGAAUGCGUUACAUGAUAUUUUAAACUCAAGUUAUUUCCAAGAUAUAUUGUUAAACUACAAACUACAAUUUUCAUGAUUUAAAGAAUUACAUGAUGAAUAAGAAUCAUCCGAACAAAUGAUAGGCCUUAUUAGCAUCAGCUCCAGAAAACUCGUAUACUGAGACCACGUCAGUCUCAGUAUCCUUUUGUUCUGAACACCUAAAGCUCUCCUUUUCCUCGUUGAAACAGGCAGAAUUGUAGAAAUCCAUUAGUUGUACUUGUAUGUCUAUCUAUUAGUGACAGGACUACUUUAUACGUGAGGAUCCACAGCAAGUUGAAUAGCGAUUUUAAUCAUUUCAUGACUUAGAAGAGCCACUACUGCCUGUUGUCAUGAAAGAUUCACCACAACCACACUGACCUUUAGAAUUUGGAUUGACGAAAAUAAAUUCCGAUCUGACAGGAGAAGCAGAAAAGAGUAGCGGUUAAAAUAAAAGCAAAAAUAACAAGGCAGCAGCAGNUCACAUUAGGAAAAAAAGAAAGGAAGAAAACAGAUGAACCAACAACAAAAACGAACACAAAAACUGUACAAUAAUUUUCAUGCCCUUUCAUUAACAGCGUCCUUCAGUGAUGCAGACAUUUUUCUACAUAUAUUUGAGAUAGAAAAAACACUAUUCAUUACCAGAGGUAAGCAUAACACAAUGCACAGGAAAUAAUUGNCUACUCCAAAAGCUCGAAUUAACGCACAGUGAGAGUAACAGAGGUGGUAUAUAGUUUCUGUCACAGGCAGAUCAAUGCCCAAACAUGUAAUUCCUAAAUNAAGAUAAAACGUAAGCUACAUUCCGUUGAAGAGAAUCUAAUCAAAUUAAUGUCUUCUAAAGCUUAAUAUAUUUAAUAUAUUGUUGCAUUUGGGUUUCAAUUCUCUUUCUCUACACACACAUAUUCAGUAUUUAGAAAUCAUAAUAAUGACAUUAUGUCUGGAUUCAACUCUUACAGCAAAUAUGUUAUGCCUGCAGUAAGAAUAUAUUUGCCUGUGACUUAAACUGUAUAAUUAGCUGGUUUCCAAUAAGGAGAAAGUUUUGUGAUGGGACGAUUUCAUACAAUGCGAUGUAUGUGUCUACCAAUAUCUGUCAUAAGCUUUGAAUAUAUUUGUUUUUGAGUAACAGUUUCUGCACGACUGAUUAUGUGUCUCUAUUCAAUAACACUGUAAAUUACUUAUUUAGCGUAUCUCAUCUAUGAAACAAACAGACUUCUGCAUGUCAUAAGUCNUGUACUUUAAACAUUGCAAGUGUUAGUUGUGCUCUUAACUGUUUUACUGUAUAAAGAAUUNAGUGAACUAGCCAAUAAUGGUAAGGUGCACAUUUCUUGAGGUAAUCNCAAUUAAUUAACAGGGAUGAAAUGCUUAUUCUUAUUUGUUUUAUUUAAUCACAGGCCAACAUGGUUGUAUAAAGAAAGGNGAUAAAAUAAAUUAGAAGUCAUUAAAUUCCAUCCUACAUACACCACUAGACUACUAGUUUUAAUACUCAAAAAUUAACAAGCAUUAAAUUCUGUUACAGUAGUGGAACACACGCACUACUUGUUUUAAUACUGUGUUUCUUUUUAUCUUUUCAAGGUGGAAGAGCCCGAAUGUAACUUUUGUAGACACUUAACAGAUUUGGGUAUGGGUUUAAAGUGAAGUCGAUGCCACCAUGACAGUAUGACCAUAGACUAAUUACGUGGUUCUCCUAAAGAAUAACAGAAAACAGUUACCAAAGCAUUCACACAAACCUCUCAUUACUAACAUGGAUAUACUUUAUAAACUAAAUUCCCUUAAAAAAGAUUCUAUAUAUGUUUUGGAAGUAAUCAAGUAUGAUUAUUUGAUGAUCGAAUUACAUCAUCUGUGUUGAGAGUACGAAGAAAUAAGAUUUCAAAUCUACCUACUUGGACACAUAGUUUGUAGUUCGUGCUCUACUAUAUUAGUUAAUGAUACAGAUCAAUAAUUAAGAUCAAUUAGAACACACAUAUAUCCGGAAGUAUUCAAUUAGAAGUAAGCGAAUAACAAGCUCAAACAUCUGAUCUACUUUCUUUCAUGUGCUAUUAUGUCAUAAUGAGUCCAAUUUUAACCGCCAGAACCAGAAUAGACAGAAAUCCUCAAUAACAACUUUGAAUGAAAAUUAUCCCUAAAAUAUUCAGUUUUACAUCCAGAAAAUUGGCACAGCGGAUUCAAUUAACAAGAGUAACAAUGAAUUAUUAAAAAUAUGAAUGCUUCCCAAUUUCAGACAGUUCCCACGGAAACUGAUAAUUGGUAGAGGAUGAAUUUCUACAUCUAAAAAGAAACCAACAGAAAAAGGGAUAAGCAAUCAACAACUUAUUUUAAUGUAGAUGGAGCAGUUUAAAACGAUAAUCUUAACAUAUCUGAGUCCCAAGUCCCAACCAAAAUAUGAUUACGGCUUAUAGAUAGAAUUAUCAUCCAAUUCUCAAAUCACAAUACAACAAAUAAAACAUAGCAAAAACAGAAGAAAAAUACAAGUUGAGCAUGAAGAGAAAGUGUUAGGGAAAAUAUUUACCUUAGUUUGUCAUCUACAAAAUCCAUUUUAGUUCCAAUGACAUGCAUAAGGGCCUUUGGAUCAAUCAAUAUCUUAACACCCUUAUCCUCAACCAACUCAUCAAACCUUCCUUUUUCAUCUGUCAAAAACAACAGGAAACUUAAUUUGAAAGGUCAUAACUCAGUGCAGUAAUACAUCCAUCUCCAGCUCACCACAAUUGAAAGGAAUAAUCAGUAAACAAAAAUAGAAAAUUCCCAACAGUAUUAAACUUUUAUCCAUGUUACUCAUAUUUAGGACUUGAGAUUUAUAUGAGAAUUUAUUACCACCAAAGGUCAAUUUUUCUUAUUUACCCUAUUAUUUGACAUACCUCAGUGCAUGUGUUUGACUAAUGGUGUAUUAGGAGUCAAUUAAUCACGGGAGGAAUAUCUUCUAAACUUGAGUUGUGUAACAGUAUGACAAUGAAAUACAAGUUUCAUAAGAGACGAGUUAACAUAAUUUUUAGAGGUGAACUAAGACAAGUUAAAAACGUUUAAAUUUUCAAUAGAGCACCAUGGUGAUGAAUGAUGCAUGCAGCAGACUUCACCCAAUGGAUAAAAGUCCUUCUUGUUGACUGUUGCCAUCACUUACAUUCAUCGUCUUAGUACUUACGUAGUUGGUCACUUCCUUAAGGUAUGACGUAUUUCAUCAUCUUAGAUGAGACUUCAAAUUUUACUUACUCAUUUUAAUCGUCCAUAACUCUUAUUUCUGAAGACAAUAAAUUAAGCAUUUUCACGCUAGUGUGCGUAAACGCGGUAUGAUAUGAAACCAAAGACAAAACAUCCAACAAAAAAAACACAGUAAACCAAUCCAGAUUAUGAUGAGACGCGAUCUCAAAGACGAUAAACAUAGGAGCAUAGCAUAAAAAUCGACAAAAAUCGGUCAUUCACAAGCACCGAUGCAAAAUUCCUGGAAAAGCAAAUCGUCGAACACUCCUUUCGAAGAUUAAAAAACCGAAUGGAUAAUCAUAUACGUAAGAAAGGUAAUUUAACGAGCCUAAGCUAAAUCAUUUAGGAUCAACCUUCUCCUAUGAUUAAACCGUAGGGAUUUCAGGACGAAAAACUCAUAAUCAAAUUGGAUUCAGCUAAGUUAUCAGAGAAAAAAUGUUCCACAAAUCUACAAGAUAUACGAUAUUUCGAGAAUAGAUUAACAGAAAGAGUGAGAGACCUGCGUAAUUGAGGGUGUAAGAUAAUCCAUUGCAGCCGCGAGCCUUGACUCCGAGCUUCAAGAAGGGCCUCUGACGCUGCUGUAGGAGCUGCCGUAUUCGCGAGGCUGCGGCAUCUGUCAACGACACAGCUUGGCGGCGCGCCGCCGUCCCUAUCUUCUCCGCUGCCACGCUCAUCGCCUUCGAAGCCAUCGAAGAUUAACUAUCCGUAUCCCGUUGUUUUAGGACGGUUCCUCUCUUUUUCAGGUUUGGCGCGUGGCCACCACGUUUGUGGCUAUGCUAGGCUAUUCGUAGAACGUUCCUGAUGAAACCUAUGCUCUGUGCUUGUGUGGCCUAAUUCUAUCUGUCUGUCACCUCUCCGGUAAUUUUAUCAAAGCUCAAACAACAAUGUACAGUUAUUAGACAAAUUAUACAUAAAUACAUUAAUAAUUCAAAAUAAUUUUAUAUCUAGAUAUGUAUGAAGCAAAUAUUACUUAUGUGAUAACUCAGCAUUUUGACACGAAUCAUUUACACAGAUGCAAACAUGCAAUUAAUAAAAUUUACCUUUUUAGAUAAUAAAAUAAAAUUCAUUUAUUAUUCAAUAACUUAUGUAAUAAUUUUAUACUCUAAUCUAAAUAUACAUAUAACAAACUUGAUAAUUUUUAUAAUAAUUAUUUAAAUUUUGUAAACUUAUUUCAGUGAAAAAUAUUUUAAAAUUAUAUGAAUAAUAAUAUUAUUGGUUAAUGAUGUAAAAUAGUUUAUAUUGUCAGUGAGUAUUAAAUUUAUUUAAUUAAGCAUAAAAUAUAUUUAGUUAUUCAUUUUCAUUUAAUUUAAGAAGAUUAAUUUUGUUCUAACAGGUUGUUGAAAAGAAAAGCCCUCUGGUCGAGUAGGGGUUUUCAAUUCCAAAGCUGUCCUGUCUGUAUAUGUUGUUGGCGUUGGCAUUGGGACGCUCAUCGCACCCAAACAAAACCCACCUUGCGGACCAAUUUCAUUUCUCACUUAUCAACAAAAACAAAACACCUCAAAAUGCAGACACGCUCGUUCUGAGAGAAUAAUUCCACUGCUCCUCUCCAUAUCACCACUCAAAUGCUUCUCUCACUCUCUCAGAACCCUUCAGUUUUCGCAGGUUUUCUCUCUUCCUCUAAUCUCCAAAAUCUUUCGCAUUUACUCUUCAACUUUCACAUUACACAUCUCCAUUUUUAUGCUUUUUAAGUGUAACAUUCGCCGAUUCUCCCUUUUCGCGCAUUUCAUUCACUUCUAUUAUCACCGCCGCACUAUAUGAACUACACUCUGGCGUUGUUUACUUCAUUUUUUUCACGCAUGACCUAAAAUUCGGUGAUUCUUUAUUAUUUUAUUUACUUAUUUAUUUUGCUGACAGGUAAAGGACGAAGGAAUUUCGAGCGAAUUGCAACAUUCACGUAUUGAAUUUACUGCUGCUAAUUUUUUCGUGAAUUUAUCAGAAGCUGCUAUUUCAGUACUGUGAAAAUGGCUACCUAUUAUGCACCUUCGAAUUCUAGAAAUUCAGCGGGGGUGCUAGCUGUUGUUGGAGGAAGAAUAAUUUCUGAGAAUCACGGUGUCAGAUCGUGCUCUUUGAAAAUUCAAGAAAGCAAGUACGUGUUUGGCAGCAGCAGAAAGUGUGGUUCGAUUCAAGUGAAGUGCUCCACGAAUUCCCACAGUAUCAGUCGCAAGGAUCCUUUUCUGGAUCUGCACCCUGAGGUUUCAAUGCUUAGAGGAGAAGGAGGGAGUGCAUUGAAUAACCCUGGACCUAGAAUAUCAGGUGGAAAGGUGGCUGAAAGCUUAGAAGCUACCAUGAAUCCAAGUAACUACAAUGAAGCUAAGAUCAAAGUCAUUGGUGUGGGUGGAGGUGGGUCAAAUGCAGUCAAUCGUAUGAUUGAGAGUUCCAUGAAUGGCGUGGAGUUCUGGAUUGUUAAUACUGAUAUUCAAGCCAUGAGAAUGUCACCAGUCAUUCCUCAGAACCGGUUGCAAAUCGGUGAGGAGCUUACGCGAGGUCUUGGCGCUGGUGGUAACCCUGAGAUUGGUAUGAAUGCUGCCAAGGAAAGCAAGGAAUCAAUACAGGAGGCAGUUUAUGGAGCUGACAUGGUCUUUGUCACUGUAUGUUCUGUUAACCACUUUUCCUUAGAGAUAUAGCUUAUGCUAACUGCGUGGCAGGUUUGCAUUGUGAAUUUUGUUUGUAAUGCCUUUCUCACCACUACCUGUCUUGGUUUUAACAUAUAUGCUCUAUUGUAGUACCAGAAUAUAUGUUUGUAAGCAAUUAAAAAGUUGAAAUAUCUAUGAUGGCAAAUAACGUGCAUGCAAUGUUUUCUUUAUCAAUUUUAGGAGGAAAUUAUCAGGAAAUGUAUAAUAUUCUGGUCUUUAUUGUUUUCAAUUUUUUUAUUAAUUAUAAUUGUUGAUUAAGGUCUGUUAGAAACAAGUAACCGGCAGUUCAUGAUUUUUUAAAUCCUCAACUUUAUCAUUUUUCAAAAUUUUCCAGUUCUACAAAACUGUUCACUGUUGCCAGUAAAUUUGAAAAACUAGAAUUCACUUGUGCAGGCCGGAAUGGGUGGAGGAACUGGCACUGGCGGAGCUCCAGUUAUUGCUGGUAUCACAAAGUCAAUGGGUAUACUGACUGUUGGUAUUGUCACAACUCCCUUUUCUUUUGAAGGACGAAGGCGGGCAGUUCAAGCACAAGAAGGAAUUGCAGCCUUAAGAGAUAAUGUUGAUACACUGAUAGUUAUUCCAAAUGAUAAACUGCUGACUGCAGUUUCUCAAUCUACCCCUGUAACUGAAGCAUUCAAUCUGGCUGAUGAUAUUCUUCGACAAGGUGUACGUGGUAUAUCUGAUAUUAUUACGGUACGGAAUCAUUAAGAUCUUUGAACACAAACAAUUACAUUCCUUUUGCUUCUUUUUCUCCUAUCAAAUCUUGAUUGUAAAUGGAGUAAAGAAUGAUAUGGAAACCUUGAGGGAUUUUUUGACAAUUCAGCAGUCCUUACCUGUUUACUAAUCUGUUUAAUAUGUUAGUUCAAAAUUAUGUUUUACCAUUAGUUUAUUUGCUACAACUCUCACAUUCUCUGCUAUCAAUUUUGAACACAUGUAGACAAAAAUACUCUGGCCAUCCCACUAAUCAGAUGACCUGGUUAUAUAUUUCCCAUGUCUCAAAGUUGAUGGUGUUAGUCUGAAAUCUCUAAUACUGAUUUUGUUAAUUAAUUGCAGAUACCAGGAUUGGUGAAUGUCGACUUUGCUGAUGUUCGAGCUAUAAUGGCCAAUGCAGGUUCUUCACUUAUGGGGAUAGGAACUGCAACUGGUAUGUAUGGGAUGGGAACUGCAGAUGGAGAUCCAUUGCUGGUCCUGAAUCCUGAUCUUCUAUUUGACCUAAAUAACUAGCGAGUUUUCCGUACAUUGUAUGGUUAUUUCUAAAUUAAUUAAAUUUUAAAAUAUAAAUUUAAAACAAAAAGUAUCAUUGAUUCAUUGUUGAGAAAUCAGGUAUCUUUAAGAAAGAAAAAUGUAUAAUAAAUGUCUUCACUCUCACUAACGAGAAUUUAUUGUAAUAGAUAGUAAUAAAUGAAAGAGAUGAUACUUUUGAAAUU
rnacentral:lncRNA from 1 species